UUUUUUUUUUUUUUUUUUUUGUUUCCCCCUUUUUGUUUUUCCUUCUCUUUUCCUUUCCAUUGAUAGAGUGAGAAAGGGAAAAUUUUCUGGUCUUCGACUUGUAUUUUGUUGGUACCGACUACUGAGAUGCUUUCAAUUUCUUGAAUUUGGAACCAAAACACAAUAACUCAUAAUUCAUUUUCUUUCAUUUUCUUUAAGAAUGACACUUUAAAGAAAAUCAACUUACUCUAAAAGAAUUAGAAAAUAAAAUUUUCUAGGUCCCUAGAGAGUUGUCUAACAAGGUCUUGUCAUCAAGUUUUAGCAAAGUAACUGGAUCUUACAGGUUACUACAGAUUAGAUGUGUCAAAAUGAAAGACUCGAGGGGGUUUGGAUGAGUUUUCGAUAAUAGGUAUAAUCGUGUUACUUAAUAUAUUUAUAUCCAUUUAAUAAGCUGGUUCAAAUUGGUUAAAUCAUUUAUACCCAUUUAAUAAAAAGGACAUAGGUAUAUUUAUAGGUAUAUCCAAUUACCUAUUAUGACCUGCUUGAAAUUCUACUUUUCGCAUAAUGUUUGACAAGAAAUAACGAUAUUUUAUUAUGAUUAAAUUAGUGAGAAAUUUAAAUUUAUCCCCCUAAUACUAACCAAAAAUUGAAUUUGAAUAUAUAAUUAUUUUAAAAUAUGUAUAAAUGCAUGAAGCGAAUCAACCCAUUAUACACCAAUUAAAUGGGUCUAAUCCAAACAUUAUUUAAACCAAUUCAAAGUGUAGUGCAUACCCAAAUUCACUUAUUAAUGAGUUUGUUUGGAUGGUUCAACACAAAUGAAUUGUGAUUAACAUCUCUACUUCAGAUCAAUGUAUAUUGCAUGUUGAUUAAAUACAGAUUUUAUCUUAAUCAAAUCCUCAACUUGAUCCUAUCCUCUAUUUUUUUGGUGCAUGGCUCCAUGAGAUGGAUUUCACACGUAUUUGAUUCACAGGGAACUGAAGUUUAUGACAGCAGAAUGCAAUACAAAGGUGCAGCCUCUUCCAACAGUAAGAACUGUUGCUGUCUGCUUUAAAGAGAUCGAUUGUCAUCCUUAUACUCUAAAUAAAUCUAUUUGGUCAAAGAUUUCAAGUGAAUAAUGAUCCUGUAAGCAUAAUUUUUUGUCUUCUCUAACAAAUGUACUCAUGCUCAACUUCCAUUCUGGUUUAAUGUUUUGCGAAGAGGCAACCAGAAUUUCACUCCUUAACACCAUAUUGUACUACUGCUACGUACGAAAUAAAUUUGCAUAACUUACCACAGGGGACAAAAGUUCUGGCAACUGACUUUCCGCUAAAAGACGCAAUAAACUGGAUAAAACUGUGGAAAAUUUCACUAAUUUUAGCUUUCACUAGAUGGGCAUGUGAGCUAAUAUGUCACCUGAUUUAUGUCAGAAACCACCCAAAAAAUGCACGGAGAGAUCAAUUUUGGUACACUAUCAAAAUCUGAAUCCAAAGUAGUAAAUUUGAUAAACAAAAAUGUAACUUCAAUAUUAAACUUAUUCAUCUAGUGUUUUGUCAUUUAAAACGCCCAAAUGAAAAGUUAAAAAAAGGUGAAAAAAUGCGAGACAGAUUAUUCACAGGCAAAUCUUGGAGAGGAAUCCCCUCUCCCACACCCCCUCCCCCAAAACCCAGAAGGAAAAGGGAAAAAGUUUAGAACUUCAGGUUUUGGCCCCCAACAGGGUGUUCAUAAAUAUUGUAGGUAAACCCUCCCUACAUCCAUGUAUGCAUAGAUGUAUUCGUCUCCCAAUGUUCAAUUCCUGAAUCCGAUUGUUUUCAAUAUUUUGUAGGUUUCAACUGCCCAUAUUUUCACCCAAAGAACAUAGACUAUCAUUUAACUUCAGAAUACAAAGUUACAGAUGAGUUGAGUCGAAUUGAAAUCGAGAUUUGGUUUAAUCGAAUCAAAUUCGAUUCAAUUUUACCAAGUUUGAAAUGGAGGUCGAAUUCGAUGAACUUUGAAUGUAAAAUUCGAAAUCGACCUCGAUUUCAAAUUCGAGUCUAGUCGAACUCGAAUUCGAGUCUACUCAAACUUUAAAAAGUAAAAAAAAUAAUAAUUAUUUUAUUUUUUUAAAAAAUGAAUAAAAUAGUCAUUUUUCUUAAUAAUAAUAAAAAUAUUGAGAAAAUAUAUGUAAUUUUACUAUUAAAAUAAUACACACACAUAUAUGUAUAUGUAUAUAUACAUGUGUGUAUGUAUAUGUGUGUGUAUAUUUGAAUAGACUCAUGAGCUAACGAGUCAAGUUUCUCUAUGCUCGACUCAAGUUCGAUAGCUUAAUUUGGUUGAUUCGAGUAUCAUUCGAACUCAAUAUUUACCAAACUUGAGUCAAACUUUAACCCAAUUGACUCGCAAAUGACUUGAUUUGUUUGCAGCCUUAUUCAAAUAAAACAUGAGAGAUAUAUAUGAGUUCUAAAAUCAAUUAAAAAAAUCUUUUCUAGAAUUGGCACAUUCGUAACAUUUUCCUUUUUUUAGGAGAAAAUAAAUCAGAGAAGAUAAUAGCAAGAUUUGAAAAAUAGAAAUUUAAAGAAAUUUUUUUAAGUAUGCCACAAACAUGCAUAUGUGUGUGUAUGCACAUGUACAUGUGACGUCCCGAAAAUUUUUUUUUUCUUAUUUUAUAUCUAUUCUAUUUCUUUUCAUGCAUUUUCUUUAUAUUACUUUAUUACCUUAAUUUCCUAAAUAUUUUUAUAAGUGAGUCAAGCUUUUAAAUCAUUUUCUUGGUAUAAGUUAGUACAUGGUAAGUUUGAAAUGUAUUAUGGACGUGGGACCCGCUAGUGCGGUAAGUGCGGUAAAAUUUUGACUAUUAGGUGAAAUUUUACAUAAAGAAAUGUUAUUUUAUAAGGUGCUAGGGGAUAAUCAGAGGUUAACUAAAUAAAUUAGUUUUGGAAGACAAGAAGAUGAUAACAAAAUCCUAAGAGUCAAGUGUCGCGAAACCGUUGGAAGUUGGACUUUGACCAAACCUUUCUUAACUUUACUAAAACCAAACAUUGACCAAAAUUUUCUCUUUUCUUCCCAUUUUUCUUAGUCUUGGCUGAAAUUCUUGAGAGGAAAAACAAGGGAGAGAAACUUCAUCUUCAAUCCCAACUUUCUUACUUGAAUCUUGAGCUCUAACCAUAGUUUGUACAAACUACUCCAUAAAAGUGCUAACUAAGGUAGGUUUUAAGGUGUUAGUGGAGUAAUUUUGGAGGAACAAGCAUUAAGUUGCCAUCUUUCUUGAGGUUACAAGGUAAGUUUGCCAAGAAAUCCCUCUUUGUUUCUAAUACUACUAUACUAGUGGUUUAAGGUUGUUAAAGUGGUAGUUUUAUGGGAAAUUUCAUGAGUUGAAGUGGUGUUAUGAAAAUUUUCAGUUUUUUUUGGUAAAUUUCUGCCCACAUAUGAUGCUUGAGUGUCGGCCAUGGUUUGAUAGCUUUGCUAUGUGAAAUAUUGAGGUUUUAUAGGUUAGUUUAACUUGUCUAAAGAAAUUUCCAACUUAUGUGCAUAAAUUUCAGUUUAGGGUUUCCAAUUUGGGCUUGAUGGUGGUUGGUUUUGGAGUCAUCAAUUAGCUAAAAUUAAAGGGUGUUGUGGCCCUGAUUAAGUGUGUUUAAUAGCUUAUGAUUUGUAUGUGCAAUUGAGGCUGUUUUGGGUGAACUUUGGUGUUGAUUAUAGGAUGGAUGUUGAUGUCUUCAUAGGAAAUGUAGACCUAUGUCUUAGUUUCGAAACGCCAUAAGAUUCAUCUCAAUCUGAUAAGUGUAGCUUCAGUUGUGAUUAAAAUGCCAAAAGGUGGGAGGAACUUGAUGAUUUUAGAAUUUCCUUUACUUGACAUGAUAUUUGUGAUCUAGGGCUUAGACUUGAGCAAAGAAACUAUCUAUGACGGAUGAGGAUCAUGAGCUGUGGUUGAUGAGUGAUUUCAAAACUGUUUCCAAAGUUACUUUUCGAACUAUUUCUUACACUGCUUACUCGAUUGCAUAUCAUGUGUGCUUGCGUGUGUGCUAUGUAAUGAUUUGGCUCAAAUGAGUGCUUGGAAGUCUUGUACUUAACACCAAUGUCUCCACCUUAAUGACAUUUGACUUGUCUUGAAUGUUGGAGCACCAAUGGCUCCCUUGUGUUACGUGAUUGUUACUUGAUCUAUUUGAGCGUUGGAUGUUUAAGUACAAUUAUUUCACUGGCUCACAAGAGCAAUAAACUUACAUUUGAUCAUUGAUUCAUGACAUCAUCUAAAUGCAUUAUUGUGAAAACUUAUUUGAUUAUUGAUUUUUACUGGACCCUCGCUGAGUUUCUAACUCACCCCAAAUAUUUAUUUUCUCUCCACAGGACUCGAGGCAAAGGAAACACUUAUAUUAACUUAUUAGUGUGACUGGAUGGAAUAUCUCAUAUAUACUUUGAAUUUCGAUUCACUUGUGGUAUGUAAAUUCGUGGAGUAUUUGAUGUAAUAUUUGAGAUUUACAUUGUAAUUUAUUUGAGAACUGUAGUGAGGUAGGGUUGUCACAGUACAUAUAUACACACACGCAUACACACAUGUACAAGAAUUUUGUAAAAUCAACUAGGGGUGUUAACAAGUUGAGUCAAACUCGAAUAGUGCUGUGUUCGAGUUUGAACUCAAUGAUACACAACCAUACUUGGACUCGAGUUCGACUCUGUAAGGACCCGUAAAUUUUCUUUAUUUCAUAAUACUUUAUUUUAUUUUCUCGCAUGCAUUUUCGUCACUAUACCCUAUUAUAUUGAUUUGUCCGAGAUUUUUCCUUAUGGUUAUAUGUCUGUGGGAACGUUGUCUUAAAGAUUGAUUGUAUCUUAUAGUUCGGCUCAAUCGGGCUCUGAAUGUUAUUUCCUCGAAAUUCUUCUGAGCGUUUGGUAGGGUUUCCGUUCGUUCCAGAUUUGAGUCCCGACGAGAGUUGGGCAGGCGGUCCGCCGAACCCUUUGGUUCGCAUUUGAGGGAGGUGGGGCUGUCACAGACUCGAGUGAACAUAAAACUAUGUGGCUUAACUCCACUCAUUAGCAUGCAUUUCCAAGCUUGAACUCGACUCGUUAAGGGUGAAGAUUAGUCUUGAGUUUUAACGAACUUCAAGGCUUGAAAUAAAACUCGAAAAACUAAAAAAAAAAAGCUCAAAAAUUAUGGUAAAUUACCUAAAAUUCUAGUUUCUUUUUUAGUUUUUACAGUAUUACUUUUUUGCCAUUUAAGAAUUUUUUUAAGUAGAUAAAACUUAUGAUAAAUUACCUAAAACAUAAACCCUUAUUAGUCAUUACAUAAUUAAAAUAAAUAUAUAAUACAAAUAAUAUAUCGGUAAUUGAGCUAUUUGACAAGCAUUCGAACAGCACAAAAUGGAGACUCAAACUUGACUUGGUAUAUGCAUCGAGUUAUUCAAGUUCGAACUCGAUCUCAAUUAAAUCAAGUUCAAAUCGAACAUUUGAUUAAAUCGCUCGCGAGUGCCUCAAUUUGCGGCAAGCCCUAAAGCCAGCUGCGGGUUCUUUGUUAUAACUUUUCCUUAGGAUGAUGAAUUGAAUGAUCUCUCACACUCAACUCCAAGUUCCAACCUCCAACUCCAAACGUUUGUGGAAUUGGGGGGACCUCUGGCCAAGGCUACAGAUCAAAGGAGAGGACUAGAACGGAGAUUGAAGCAUGGCCAAAAAAGUUCGAGUGGGAGGCAUCUCCUGUAAAUAAAGUGAAGCAGGAGGGUAGCUGUUGAAUACGAACAAGGAGACAGAUGAGGAUACGAUCGUAUCUUCUAACGUACGACGUUUUCUUUUCAUCUCAGCAAUGCAAUACGUGCCUAUGCCCCUACUCCCACAUGCAUGCUCGCGAAAUUGUCAGCACGCUCUCUCUUUUAUCAUUCAUUCUUCAGUGCCCGCUCGCUUUAAUUCUGUGCAUAAGAACUUGGAUAAGUUCAUACUCUGAUUAUCAAUCAAAAUUUGACAAGUGUGGCGGCAGAGCAGCCGGAAUUAAUAUGUUCUGAGCCGAGGAGUAGAGUUAAAAUCAUAAAUGUACUGCGCAAUGUGUUGUGGCUGUAGGCAGACGCGUCAAUUGGGCUGGACUACUCCAAUUUCGCUUUGAUUUAUCCAAAUUCAGCAUGUUGUGUCUUAUGCGACGUGAGUUGAACUUACUAUAGAUCAAAAUAAUUUGCUUGAUUUAAAUGUCAACUGAACUCGAGUUGUAUUAAUCGUGGCCUAGAUAAUAUAUAUGCUAGGGCUCAUUGUUGGGGGGGGGGGGGGGAGGGGGAGAUUAAAAAUAUUUGUUUAUCUAAAUCUAAUCAAAUAUAGUAUUGAAAUCCAUGCCUUGAUUGGAAUUCGAUUUUUUUUAGAGAAAAUUUUUUAUAUUUUUUGUGAGUAUUUCUCCUACAUAAAAUUUAAUUAUUUUUUUUAUCUUCAUACAUCAUAUUCUAAAAAAUUCUUAAAGUAACUUUUUUCUCCCAAAAAUACAUCCUAAACGGGCUCUUAAAUGACUAAUUUUUUUGAUAAGUUGUUAUUUUUCAAUCUCUAGUUGACAAGUUUACGGAUGUUAUGAUAAAUUAUAUGAUUUUUAUCGUGAAAUUGAAAUUGUUCUUUAGAUAUUAUAGAAUGUAUGUAGAUUAGCUAGUUGUUGCAAACUUAAAAAAUUCAUGAGGUGAAUUUGGUCCUACUCGAAUUACAUUUAAUACCCAACUUUUGUUUUGGUGAACCGAGCAUGAAUUAUAAAAAUGUGAAUCUAACUACGUUAAACUUGGGUUUAAAAGAAUGAUAUUUUACAUGAGUUAAAUUUGAAGGUAUCAAAACCUAACUCACAUCUCCUAAUUGAUAGGUCUAUCUAUAAGAUGGGGGAUGUCCUUUCCUUUCCAAAGCAUUUCAACAAAAAGUUAUCAAUUCAUAAGUACCGAUAGAAAAUAAAUAAUAGUCACUCUUGUUGGUGUCAUAUCUUUGCAUACACAGCUAGAGAAAACUAUUUACUGGAUGAAGGAACACAAGAGAUUAAUGUAGCGAUUUGGAUUGCCGGUUUCCGUCAAAAAAUUACAUCUUUUCCGUGAUCACAUUUUCCUAUCACCUUUUUCCCUCACAUACAUCAAAUCGCUACAGUAUUUUUUCCAUGAAAAAUCACAGAAAAUGCAAUCCAAACACAACCUAAUUUUUCUCAUAAUAUAUAUAAAUUUGCAUGAAACUAGUCUUGCAAUAUGAAUAGUACAAUGAUGAUUGGAAGAAAACUGAAAAGAUUGUGGAAAUAAUUGAUCAAUGCAAUCAUAUGUUUUGAGUGGAUGCUGUGAGAAUUAGGGGAUAUUUUGCACCCCACAAACUUCCGCAAAUUAUACUAACAUGAUAGGCAGCAGGAGACGGUGAAACACGAGAGGAAGCAUUAUAGUAGUGGGGGGUGGUAAAAUAUUUAUGGCGAGUGCAGGUAUCAUCAGAAAAUCUGGGGGAGAAUAGAAAUUGGAUUAUAAUGGAGAGGAACCACAAGAACGGAGCGUGGGCUGUCUCUUCGGGUGUGCCUCUGGUGGGAAAAGGCUGACACAGACGUUGACUCGCAUUGUACGGAAUGUCGACUUAGUCGGACUGUGUGUGUGUGAGAGAGAGAGAGAGAGAGAGCUUUGCGCCCUGUUCAACAACAAAGAGAAAGAGAUGAAAGAAUUACUAUCACAUUAUCAUAAUUAUCAAGCUAGCUAGGCGCGUGUGUUCCCUCGCCCCCUCCCCGCCUUUUCUCUCUCUCUAUAUAUAUAUCUCUCUCUCUCUCUCCCGGGAACCCAAAAAAAAAAAGAAGCCCCCAAAACACAAAAAUGCACUCUUUUUAGGCUAGCCUAUAAGGCUUUUUUCAGGGAGGGUAGAGAAGGAUGGACUUUUCAACUCCACGAGGCUCGGCUGUUUUGUUUAUAAGCUUUGGGGAGUUCUGGUUUGUUUUCUAUUGGACUAGUCACACUUUGAUCCCCUGGACUUUAGGGCAGUCACACUUUGCUGCCACUCUACUUCUCAUAAAAACUAGUUAACCUUGAAAUUCUUAAUUCCAUCGGUUAGUGGUAAGAACUUAUGAUGCUACUGUACUUUUAUUGUUGAAAAUUACUAUUAUUGUCUUUUUAUUGUAAAAAAAAAUAAAAUUUAAAUUUAGAUCCUAUUUGAUAGUCCAAUUUAGCACUUAAACUUAAUGGAUUCAGCUUUUAACAUAUUCAAACCGUUUAAUAACAAAAAAUUUAACAUCUAAAUUAAUUAAGUGGCACUGAAUUUUCUAUAUAAAACUUGCUCUCAAAAUUAAGUUAUAAGCUAUUCACUUAUCACUAUAAUAUGCACUCAAAUGUAUUAGAUUUAAUAUUAAAUAAUUCAAUAAUUUAAUAGAUUCAAAUUUCAAAUUUCAGUUUUAUCAAACGCACCCUUAAUCUCCGUUUUCUUCUUCUAAGCUUAAAAAUAAGACAUAUUAGCCCUUUUGAGGCAAUUUUGGUUAAGCAUUUAAUGUUUCACUAAUUUGAUAAACAAAAAAUGACAAUAAAAUUAUUAUUUUAGUUUAUGUAAGCUUAACAAUGAAAUAUAUAUUUUGAAAAAUGACAAGCUUAAUAUUACCUUAUGUGUUCAAAAUUUUCCUAAAUGUCUUUAUUCUUAUCACUAUAUUAUUUAUCCUUAUUGUUUCAUUUAAAGUCUAAUAAGUAAGUAAGUAGGUAUGUAAGUACGUAUGUAUGUAUGUCUAUGUAUGAACAUUAAUCCAACAGGAAAAAUUUUAAACAUAAAAAAUUAAAUAUAAAACUUUUUUUUCUUUUACCAAAUUGAUAUUUUUGUAUAAUGAAUACUAGAAAAAAGGUGUAUAUCUCUUAAUAAUAAAAGGAAAAUAAUAGUAUGUUAUAGAUAAUCUAAUAGAUAAAAGGGCAAUAAAAUCAUUGCACUCACUUUUUCUUGCCUAAUUUAAGAUUUCUAAAAUUCAAGGGGGGCAAAUAUGUGACUAAAUCUUUUCUAUUUUCCCCACAUUUCUCCUAACUCCUAUCGUCCACAUGUUGUAGGCCAAGCAAGCAUCCAAACCGAUCAAGUUUGGUGGUGAGAAAACAUGGGAAUGGCCAUCGGUUUAAGGCCAUAAAACAGGCCUACUUGGCAAAUCAUGGAUCUUUGCCUGGUAACUCGAAAGACUGGGACUGCAUGGGAAUGGCAGGCACCUGCCCCGUGGGGGGAUUAAUAGGCGGGGGAUGGGGCGCCGGGAGGGGGAUGGGAAGGAGGAGAAUAUUUUUCCUCUGCCCCGCCACCCAUUAUAUAUAUAUAUAUAUAUAUAUAUAUAUAUAUAUAUAUAUAUAUAUAUAUAUAUUUAUAUGUAUAUAUAAUAUUUAAUUUAAUUAGUUACAAACUUAUAAUGAUAUUAUUAGUUAUAGUUAUUAUAUAAUGUAUAUUAGUAUAUAAUUGAUAUUAUCAAUUAUACUAAUAAUUAUGCAUGUCUACUAAUAGAAAUUAUUAAUUAGUUAUACUAAAUUUUUAAUUAUACUUAACACAAUAACACUUAUUUCUCGAAAGUGAAAACUUGACGUGCGACAAAAAAAAAAAAGAAAACUUGACUAUUUUAGUUGUAUUUGUUUCAUCAAGUUAAAUUGUAUUCAAAUAGUUUUUAUGAGUUCAAUUACGAAAUUACAAUGAAUAAUGAUUUGAUGAAAUGUUGAUAUUCUAGUACUGAAUUAUUUAUUAAAAUUUGAUUACAAUAAAAUUAUAUGACAACUUUUUAUUAACCCUGCGCCGCGAGAACGAGAGGGAGGGGCGGGGUAAGCAGUGGGCAGCGGGGCGUCCCCACCCCAAACCCGCCCCGUUGCCAAUCCUGGGAAUGCAGCCAGUUACCACCCGACGUCCAUGAGUCCAUCAUUUGGCUUAUAUAGGACACGUAUUUUGGCGUCUUGACUAAUUUUCACCUUGUUCAGACGUAGUUGUGUAUUCUGUUAGGUGGGUAGCUAAAUGAGAAAAACAUUUCGAGGAUAAGUUUUCUGCGGGCAUGCUCUAUGUACAUUAUCAUUUUGGAAAAAAGACCGAUGAUCAAUCGAAAAAGUACUUGCUAUGCACUUCACUUAGUGGGUUUGAAUUGAAUUAGUUCUUCUUCUUUCAAGUUUCAAGUUUGUUACAUUUGUCUCUUCUUGGUUUUCCACUUUCCAAAAUGGCAAAAGAAGCUUUCAUUAGUAGCUUUCAAUUGGAAAAGUUCCAUGUCAUAAAUCACAUGUGCCUUCCAUUCGCAAGCAAUUGGCACAUCGGUUGCCGUCUCUGUAGGCAGCUAUAGCACGCUAGGCCUUGUUCUCCUCUCCGUCACUAACUUCUUGCCAUCUCAAAGAAGUGACAAUUAAAUGGUUACCAGCAUAAUGUCUCUUUUUACUGUUAAUAAUUUGUGGCAGAUUAAGCUCAUAACGACCACUCUAGUCUUGUUCACUUGGGAUAAUAUCAGAAACCUCCCUGAGGUUUCUUUUAAUAUCACCUGACACCUCUAAAAUUUUAAAAAAUCACUUAACUCCCUUAUUUUUGUUAUUUGUGUAACAAAAUUUUUAAAUAUCAUAAACUACCCAUUUACUUGCUACAUAAAAAUUAUUCCUAAACCGCUUUGUUUGCUUCGAAAAAAAACCUUUAUCUAAAAAACAAUUUCUAGUAAUACUACCACAUUAUAAUGCUAUAGCCCAUAAAAAUAUAAUUUUGAAAAAUAAAAAAAGAUAUUUGCAAAGAAAUACACUUGCACCAACGUAACUCCAUGUGCUCAAAAUUAAUUUCUUAUGAACUUUAUAUUCUUUUCCAACCUCUUCUCAACUCGUGCCCAAACUUUUAAAUUGUACCGUUCACUGUAAAAAUCAAUUCAAAUUAAGUAAAUAAAUCAUAACCCACUCUAUCACUAUCGCAAAAAGUAAAAGAUAAAUAAUAUUUAAUUUAUUGUAAUUUAUAAAUAAAAUAUUGCGUAGUCAUCCAAAAAAUAAGUAACAGAGAAUGUUGGAGCAAAGGGAAAGAGAAAAAAAUGACUUUCAUUUCUUUCUUUUUUUAAAAAAAAUUUUUGAGCUCCGUUUAUUUGAUACGUGAAUUAUGUAUCAAGUGAGAGUUAAUAUAAUCUUUUUUAUAAUUAUUAGUGAGAGUAAGUGAUAUUUUUAAAACUUCAAGAGUGCCAAGUGAUAUUAGGAGAAAUCUCAAGGGAGGUUUCUAAUGUUAUCCCUUUUUAGUUAGACUAAACUUCUCUAAAACUUUUUCCACGUAAAUACUUAAAAACUCUUUUUUCUUAUUCCCAUUUUUAAAAGCCGACACUAUUCAUUCAGGAAAAUACUUGAUCAUGAUCUGUUAAAGGAACAUCACUGCAGAACCCAGCCCCCGCGUGUCAAAAGCACAAUAUACUACUGGUUCUGGUACCAGCAAUAAUUUUGGUUCACCAAUCCUAUGGUAGCUUGAUUGACUCUGUAGCUCUGGCCAAGGUAUAAUUAAUUGUGAGGUUAGGAUGGAUAGCUCAUUUCUGUCUAAACAACACACGGGACCAGUCACAUAUGGUAGUAGUUUUUUUUGGGGGCAAUAUCAUUGAACUCAAAAUCAGAGAUGACCCAGGUUUUGACGUCUUCCGGUUAGUGUAAAUUGUCAAAAAUCAGCAAAAUGGUUAAAACAACGCAGCACAGAAAGAGAAGCAAUCCGAAUGCUACAAAUUGAAGGGCUGUCUGUUGGUACUCGGAAUAGAGAGUGAAUGGCAAAAUCGGAGACAUAUGCAUCAACAUUUUGGUGGUAGUUAAACAAAUUGACAUUUUCAUCAUCCACCAAUGCAUUUCUACCCUUUAAUGACUUGUCAAUUCUCUCCUGUAUUUAGUUCUCUCUUCCAGCUGAGUUCCCUUUUUCUAGCCCAUGUGAUCAUUAAGCAUAGAAACUUUCCGCAUGGAAAAAAAAAGAAGAAGAUUUCAUGCAAUAAUAUAAUCCCACAUCGUCAGCCAAAGUCUCUAAGUUAACUAAUAGUAAAAAUCUUAAUCCCUCCAAUUAUUUUCAAUGAAUUUUGAGUUGAAACCUCAGGUUCUUUAACACCGCUAGCUCUAACCAUUACUAUAACAUUGUAGUUGGGGUUUUAGUCUUGUGCCUUUAUUUUUAUUUGGUUGGCAUAAAGUGCACAAGUUCGUCAGUCGAGUAGUUUGUGAAUUGGAAGGUCUAAAUUAAUUAGGAUGCCGACAAUUCAGUUUAGAUGAUCUAAGAGGAUUAUGAGUUAUGACACCUACCCACCACCAAAGCACCACCAAAGCCCAAUCAUGGGAUGCAGCUGUUAAUCUUGUCUUCAGUCGAUGAUUUAACAUCAUCAAACGACUAUUUCAAUAGCCUAGGACAGUCCGAGCAAAAAUCCUAGCAAGGGGGUCUUCACUUCUGCUGAUGUUGUCUCUAGUGGAAGAUUUAACAUCAUCAAACAUCUAGUAUUUUGAUAGCCAAGUACAAUCCGAGCAAAAAAUCUUUGCUAGGGGGUCUUCACUUCCUUUGAAUUCUGUCUGUCAUGCGUAAAGGGAACAAUUCAGUGUAAACCAUCGUUCCUAUCUUUUAGAGCAAGGAAUGUACGGGAAAGCAAAGGAAAGUUGAGAUAAGGGAAACCAUUUCUAAGAUUAAAAGCUGGUGCAUUUUCUCAAAGUCAUCCAUCUGUUUGGUUGAAAACGAAACAGUCGCAGGUGCCAACAAAAGACUCAACCGAACCUCAAAAGAGUUUUAACCUUCGCUAUUUGAAAGCAACCUUCCUCUGCCUCUUUUCACAGACGUUUUAUCUUCAACAGUUUGGACAUAAUAUUAUCCCACCUGCCUAGUUAGGUAUAUUCUUGAACAACAUUUGUUCUAAUUGACAGAGUCAAGCCCCCAAAAGUUGGCCCAUAUCAAAACAUAGCUGAUUGAGCUGAGUAUUACGUGCAUUCAAUCACACUAUUGAUGAAGGGUUAACAACUCAUAUUUUGCACCCCCCCCUCCUUCACACUAUUACUAGAGUCACAUUUACUUUGAUUUAUGUAUUGAAGCCCCACCACAUCAACAUGUCAUUAGGCAAACAAAAGGAAGUCCAUGUGAAAGACACCUAACUUGCAUAUACUGAAGGUCAAAUUGUAUGUAGUCUGUCACGCAUCUAAAUGAUUAACAACUCCUUUUAUUGAUAAAAAGAAGUUGCGACAUGCUUAAACUUCCCUUUGUUUUUUUUUUUAAACCAAAAAAAAAAAAAACUGUCCAGUAACUUUUUUAAGGGAUUAAUUUUUGUGAUGGUUAUCUCCGUCUUAGAGUUUAUAAACAGCACUUUAAGAUUUCAUGCAACUAUAAUGGAACAUGCAUGAUGAUUAACCUAACAGUAGUAUUAUUGCCUCCAUUUCUUGAAGGGAUCCCGGCUCCACAGGUCUUGUCACCUUAAAUGACAACAAAGGCAAGAAGAUCGUGCAAGAACAUACAAGUCAAAUUGGAGGUGGUAACCGUGGCUACCCCCGUUUCGCCAGACAGAAAAUAUAAAAUUGUAGGAAACAGCAUAAUAUUCGCAAUGCAUGCAAGUCAGGCAGCAUUAUCAUCAUUGAAUACUUGAUGUUGAAUACUUACAUAAUAGGCAAGGGCAAGGGCAAGAGUAGUUCUGCUGCGCCAAAACUAUUUUCUGUGGCUUGUCAACAUCUCAAGUCUAAUGAUGCAGAAAAUGAUAGUGAUAAUACAUUCCCAAUACAGUGAUUUAGAUUAUAAAUCAUGUGCAGGUCCCUCUUUGGCUCGUACCGUGACUCAGAAAAAAAAUAUCAAGUCAAAAUGAUAUGUUCGCCGCACUGACAAGAAAACUUUUAGGCAUUGGUCCACUUUUUAAGAUUCUAAUUUAUUGUGUUACACCAACAUGACAACGUCAAUCCAGCUUGAUCACUAGAACAACACCUACUCAAAUUUUAGAUCGAUGAGGAAUGGCCAGAAACAAUAAAGCGUCUGAAUCCCACAUAACACGAGAUGAGAAAAAGCAUGGAUGAUUAUAGCAUCAGACACAGAAUUAUGAUGGUCUCGUAUCUUCUGUGGUCCAAAGGGAAACAUGUUUAGUCAUUCCAUGGAUUAUGACGUCAAUAAAUGCAAGCAAUACAAAUCAUCACCAGAGAACCAAAAAUCAUGAAUGGCGAAGCCAGUUUCAAACAGGAGAUGCAGAGAACCAAGCGAACAUCUCGCAUACUCAACCAAUGAAAAGGGUACGAUGCCCAAAUUUAGAAUUUUUGGAUGCACAAUUAUUGUUCUUUUUUUUUUUUUUUCCAGCAACGAUAACAAUUUGUAUAAUCUAUUCUAACCUAAUCUAAGAAGAAAGAGAGGGAAAAGCCACAAAUAGUGAUUGAUGAGAGGCAAGGAUCAAACCCUUGACCUCCCACCUCCACCGAGACUUGACUUAAAGAUGUCUUGGUGGCACAAUUAUUGUUCUUUUUCCACUUGACAAUUUUCUUUAUUUUCUCUCUUUGUAACUCGUUGUUUGUAACGUUCAUUUCUAAUGGGACCAUAUGUUGAUCCUCUGAUUAAUUGAGUUAAAUGGCGCGCGUAUGGGCACACGCACAUGCAAGAGUGUGCUUAAAUGUUUUUCUUUAGUGUUGCAGCACAAAAAAAAUAAAAGUUCUGAAAAGUGCCCACCAAUCUCCAGGUAUCAGUAGAAGAACUGAUUGUGCCUUUAAUGUAAAUAUAUUCAGCAAAAUGAUAAUGCAAGUAGACGGCCAGAUGUCAAAAUCUUUUAGUUUUUCAAGGAAUAAGUUACAGGCAUCGGGUGCACAUCAUUGAGAUAAUUGUUCUGGUUCGCAGACCGAUUUGGAUUGUUUGUUGAAUGUUGACGAGAGAUUGGAGAACACCCUGGAACUAAUCUUGUUAGCAUAAACUCCAAUCCCCUUUUUCUGACAUUUAAAGGGGCCUCUCCGUCACUUUGCUCCACGCAAAUUCUGCAUAACAUUUCAGCAGACAGGCAAUUAAGGACCAAGAACAGGUGGAGGGUCGAAAGUAGUUAGAUACUUCAAGCUGUACAGACAAAUUUUGCCUAAUGUGGUCGAACGCACUAGCAAGAAUAAGCAGCAGUGAACAAUUAACACUGGUUUUUCUUUCAAGAUCUUUACAAGUAAACAAAACGAACUUCGCUGAAGGUGGAAGAUACCAUUGACAUGCAAACUUACAGUAAGACCAUUUUGAAUAUAGGCUAAACGGAUCUCACGUAACAGUAGCGAGUUAAAACCUUCAAGAAAAACUUUGCAAAUACGCAUAAUCCAUUAACCUGGGAUAAUUCGUGAUCUGUCACAUCAAAGGCUUCUACAAUUCAGGCAAAUGCAGCGUCCAAAGCCACAAGAAUAUAUAUAUGGGCCAAAUUAGGUUAGCCUGAACUCCCCAUCAAUUUUUCUUUCAAACUGCCAUUGCUCCUUUGACAUGUCAAGGGUUCUAGCCUUUUAACGAGGCAGUGGGAUCAACCCUAAUAUGUAUAUGCUAAUGUAAUACAGGACUUUUGUGCCACACAAAAUGCAUAUUUACACCAGCGAGAGCUUCUAGAGAAACUAUUCCAUGAACAUCUAAAUAACAAAUUCAUUACAGUCAACCAUAUUGUAUCGCUCAGUUAUUUUGCCAACCAAUCCACCCUACCUAAGUUUUAGUACGUUUAGCAUCUCCUUCCGGCACUUUAAGCAACUAUUACUCCAUGAAUUCGAUUUGCAUCUAAAGGCAAUUGUGGAUGACAUCUCCGUUCCACAGCACAUAUCUAUGUUCAUAGCGUCAUUAAGCAAAUGAUUGUCUACUUUCUCGCAUCAGCAGGAUGCUUUCCCGGCCAACUAGAUUAUUUCAGUAUCCAGCAACCAAUUCAAAUGAAUGUACACCAAAAGGUUUCCAAUGAAUUGGCCAUUCAAUGUUUACCUCUUCCCAGGAACCAAUUCAAAUGAACGUACACUGAAAAAUUUUUCUAACGAAUUGGCCAUUCAGUCUUUACCUCUUCCCAGUGAAUCAAGACCAAAAUGGAGGGAGAGAAAAAAGAUGGGGAAAAAGGAGGAGGUUAGAGAAGACAUCAAGCAGAAUUAACGGCAUUGCUUGAAUGUCUUCAUACCAACUUCAAUCUCUGAAGUUGGUGUGAAAAGGAAAAUUCCCCAGGACAAAGAGAAGAAAAAUCACUAAUCAUCUUCUUCAGUUAUAAAAGUUCCAUUUGGCCCCACAGCCACCACAUAACUACCACAUUAACAUAUACUACGUCUAUUGUACAGGAAAACCAAGAAUUCUUACCAGGCUUAUGUAAUCCAAUAUUCCUGGACCUAUAAAAUUUACGGAGAGUAUCAAUCCAUACUUACCUUCGUAACACUGGAGCACCAACCAGAAAGAAAUAAAACUUUGACAACAAGAUCCAAUUUUGUUAAGCUACUAGCACUACAUGCAUACAAUUAGCAGAACAGCAAGCACAUUUUUCCAGUAAAUAACACUCAGAAAAGAACCACCACAUUUCUGCAUUAAGCUGUAGAACAUGUAAUAACAAAUCCAAAUGCCCAGACUAUAGGAACUAACUACACAGAACAUUUUAUUUUCCUCACAAGAUGAACUCAGAGGAGCAAAGUCAAUGGCAUGACAAAUACUAUGAAAUCCAACUCCCAGCUAAAUAAGUUUGGGGUUGGCAUUGGCCCUCGGUGAAACAAAAUGAAAACCCCACUGACAGCAACCUAUUCAAUUAGUUUGCCAACAAUCAUGUAUUGUAUAUAUCCAUUGACACAAUUUAACUUUGCAAUUGGGCAUAAUUCUACAAGAUCCUCAAAACGGUCAUCUCGACCACUAAUGAAAAAGCUUGGUAGCUCAUAGAAACAAGGUACAAAGAACCUUCACUUCUCAAAAGCACAAAUUAGUCCCAUGAAAAGUACAAGAACACAGACAAAUAAUCUAAUAAGUAUACUUGAAUGAUGAGAAGAGGAGACCAACCUUGGGAGUAACUGCUAUAUGCUCAUGAAGCCAGGUAUUAUAUACACAAUAAGAAAAAUGAAUGCGAAAGAUACAAGUUCACAAGUUGUGAACAGACUAACCAUGAUUUCCAAGUUCACAAAACCUGUAUGAUGUGGUGCUUGAUUACACAUUACCCAACAUGAAUGAAUACACAAAUAUACAUCCAUGGAAGCAUACAGUUUCUUGCUGAGUCACAAGUCACAAUGCCAAAAAUGGAAUUUCACCAAAAAUAUAGAACAUGCACAGUGGACAAAUUACAAUUCUCUUAAAGAAAAGGCUCCUCCCAGCUUUCUCAUGGCUUUCAACAGCUAGAUUUGAGGGAUAAUGCAUGUGGAUUUCCCAGCAGAGAUAUACAGAUAUCAAAAGAGUGGAUACACAGAAAAGGCAAUACGUGAGUGAGUGAGUGUGUGUGUGGGGAGAGAGAGAGAGAGAGAGAGAGAGAGAGAGAGAGAGAGAUUUCACUAAUAACCUUUCUGUCUCCGAACUUGGUUUUUGCAAUACAAAAGAGGACUUGGAUGAUUUACUCCUUUUCCUGAUCCCUGGAUGGGAUAAUUUGCCCGUUAAUGCAUAGGAUAGAGAAAGAAGAAUACUACAGAGGAAAUGUCAACCAGGUGUCUCACCUAGAUAUACAAGGAAAAAAAGUACCGAAUGUCUAACCAUGCAAAACUUACUUUGUCUGAUCUGUUAGAGUAACAAGAGACCUAAGAACACCCGGACUGAUCUUGUCAGCAAGAACUCCUUUUUCAGAAAUCCAGAAGGACUUCUCCUUGAUGUAACUUUGAAGUUUUUUAGCUUCAAAAUCUAACCCAGCUUGAUCUACAUUUCAUUAAUACAAGAUAUCAGCAUUCCACAUGAAAUUUCCAUUUCUCUUUUCUUCCUGGGGAUACCAGUAAUCACAACAUCUGGGAGAAAUUUAAGGCAUAUGAAGGAUGGUUGUAAUAAAAAGCAACAGUAAUGUGGAAGCCUUGUUUUUCUACAGCUUCAAGCAAAAAGACAAAGUAUCUAGUCAAUAGAGUAUAACAAACUUAUAGCGAGUUCCCACUUUUCAACAAUCCCAUUUCAAGCCAUUGCACAUGAUAAUUACAUAUGAUAUGACCAUAUUAAGCAGCUUAUGAUUAUGUUUUGCCCUUAGCUUAUGCAAGAAUAACUCCACUGCAAUAUUGUUCAGCAUCUAAAAAAGAUUCACCUGGAAUUCUUAUGACACAAAAAACCAUGCAAAUACCUUUUUGUUAAAAAAAAUAAAAAUAAACAUAAACAUGCAAAUAUGCUAUUGCUCUAUUACGUACCUGAAGCAAUAAACACAUGCAAGCGGAUCCCACCUUUAUAUUCACAUAGCCUCGGAUAUAUUAUUACAAAUUAAACAAAGAGAUGGCAGUAGCUUACCCUUUCACUUUACAGUAAAUUAUUCUUAAAUGGUGCAAUAAACUAAGAAAUAUUCUCACGAGAAAUCAAAUGAUUGACAUUCUGUUUUGCUGAUAUAAGGACAUCACGUGCACAAAAUUUAUGUGAGCAGACAGAAUAUCUGAAUUCUAAUAAAAUAAACAGAGUGCAAUUUUAUGAAGACACUAAACAAAAUGAAAAAGUAACACACCUUUAUCCAAAAUGGCAUGAGCAGCAUGAAAUGGUAUACCAGCAAAAACGUCAGUUCCUGGAAACAUCAACCAUGUAUUCUCUUUGCCAUCAUGGUUACCACAUGUUCCACAAAUUUCUUUCACCAAUGGCCUUGAUUCAAUCUCCCUCAUUAUUGACUCAAAAGGAGAAGGGAUACUUGUUUUGGUUGUCCUAGCCCUUUUCCUUAGUGCUGUCAAUGCUUCCCUGUUGCCAUUCCUCAAUCUAUCGUUUUCAACUAACUGCAAUUACAUUUUUACAAACCAGAGACGGUUGAAAAUAGGAAAUUAUCCAUUCUUCUCAAGGCUUAGAUAGUUCUCACUUACUUGGUGUCGCGCUAACAAAAAAUUUUCAGCUUCAAUCUCAACCUCCAUCAGACCAUCCUGAAAUUGCUUCAUGGUUUCAUCCAUUUCUGUAAACAAAGUCUGACAAAUCAAGAAAAACCAUCUCACAAUCCUGGGCAAUUAGCUGUCACAGAAACAACUGUCAGAGUCAAACUCUUCGCAAAUACAAGAACGGGUUCUAGGAUUUGGUUGACAUUUUUUGACAUGAAAACUAGUACUUAACAGUGUUAAUACUCUUUGUCAACCAGGAAACUGAAAUGAAUAGCAGUUUUAAGUGUCUUUGUCUGUGUCCGCUUUACCUGCUUUCACUUACAAAUUUCCACUCUUAUCUUUGUAAAUUUCCAUUCUUGUUUCUUGUCCCAACAAGCCGAAUAAAAAUUAUUCAUGAAACAAAGAAUUAUUUUUACUUAAUCUUAAAAACAAUUUCAUCUCAAUCGCCUCAAAUGUAAUCAUGCUUAUAGGUCUCAACAGGUCAUGCUUUACAAAGCUGUCUCAGCCAUCCACAUUGUGAUCUCCUUCCCCACCCCCACCCCCACCUUCACCACCACACCCCCUCCCCCCCACCCCCCCCAAAGAAAAAGGAACACCAACCGAUACAUGUCUUUCCAAACCAAAAGAAAUGAAUCCGGGAGCUUAGUCGUGAGGAAAGAAGGUCAAGGCGUUCGCUGACAUGAUCACCUCCAUACCCCAUGUAAAACCAGCUACGCGCUCAGUUUGCAUUCUUACAACAUUAAGCAAAAAUGAAUUUGCUCAGGACAAACAAACGAGUAACCGGCGUCAGAUUGACAAAAGGAAAAUUUAACACUUAAGCAUGCAUAACAGUUGGCGUUUAUUUUUCCUUUCCCGGGUUUGACUCGAACAGUUAGUAAGCAAACCUCCCAGUCGCAACCUCCAUACGAAAUUGAAAUUGAACAGAGAAGAACCGAAAAAAUUCUCCAAAAACAACGACAAAUCCAGCUAUUUUCAUCUCAUGUACACAACGUUAAACAUACAUAUAAGAAACGGACAGAAUAGUUUCCCAAGAGAUCCUAGGUAAUAAGCACCACAAAAAUUCUAAAUACUCAUAAAUUUCAGAUAAAAUAAACAAAAAUUAGAGAGCUAUGAAGAAGGAUAUUACAGUUCUAUAUGAAAAUCUUCAGACGUGAUUACGCUUGUGGCGAGCAGAAAUCGUGAAGUUUCCUCCCUACGUCCUCCUCUUUCCCUUUUUUUUUUUUUGGCCUUUUAUUUUGCGCCGGUGAUGGGUAAAACAGAGGCGAUGUCGGGGAUGUCAGAGGAGGCGAGUGACGAGGAUAAGAGACAAGGACGACAGGUUUUUUGGGUUGGACCGCUCAGGCCUUUGUCUGUCCUCGCUAGAAUUUGAACCUAAGAGCCCAAAUCAAGUGGGCUGAUUUAUUUCUUUUGAAUGUGAGAAAACCCAAUGAACUACCUACCCACCCACUUAAGCAAAUGAGCUCGUUGUUAAUAAUGAAUACAAUUUCAUCUUUUUUUUUUCUCCCCUUUCUUUUUCUUGUUUUCAACAUAUACAUAUAUAUAUAUAUAUUUUAACUAGUUUUCUUUAUCAAACUUGUGGGUUUUUAGUUCCAGACAACCCAUACAGUACGAAAAUAUGACGACAAUGAAAUGGAAAGAAUGCAAAUAUAUAAUUGGACAUGGCAAACAUUUAUCCAAAUAGAUUGGAAAGGUAUCUCAUUUCCAACACUUGAUGAUGGUUUAUGAAUUUAGGACAGCUUAAAUUUUAGUAUUCAAUUGAGACACGAAUAUGCCAAUUCUUUUUCCUCGAUCAAUUCUUUUGCACUUGCUUCCAUCUUUGCCUUCGAAAAUGCAUCAAUCUCCAAACCUGCACCGCAUGCAGACCAUUAUUAGUAGUAUUAUUAUUGUGUAGCUAUCUAACUUUUAACUUCGUAGAGAACGAUUGGAUGUAUAAAACCAAAGGUAUAACUCGCACUGCACAAGCAUAAAAACAAAUGUAGCAUCAUUGUAUCACACUAACCUUGCACGAUUGACCAUUCUCCUUUCUUAGAGGUUACGGGAAAAGAGUAUAUUAGGCCAGGUGGGAUGCCAUAAGAUCCAUCCGAGCAAACUCCCAUGGAUACCCAAGUCCCCUGAAGGAAAGCCAUGAGAGGGAAUUAAGAUUCUUGCACAAUGAAAGAGGGAAACCCUUCAAGUGAAUUCAACCUUUGGAGUUCCAAGAACCCAGUCAUGGAUCUGAUCACAAGCAGCGCUUGCGGCAGAUAGCGCACUGGACAGCUUUCUGGCUUUAAUGAUUUCUGCUCCACGCUGCUGCACUGUCGUGAUGAACUCCGUAUUCAGCCUGACACAUUCAACCGGUAUAGAAAACUUAAUACAAGAGAAAAACGAUAGCAAAUUAUUUAUGAAAUGCAGCAAGAUUGAUUAUUUCUCCUUGGAGGAAAUGCAGAGAAAGCUUGCCAUUGAUCAUCAGACACAACUUCUCUCACAGGCUUCCACCCCUUGCCAGUGUUUACAGUCGCGUGAUUGGCGUCUGGAUACUGAGUUGAGGAAUGAUUCCCCCAAAUGAUCACGUUCUUUACAUCCCCAACAUGGACUUUUAGCCUCUCUGAAAUCUGACCUAGAGCCCUGUUGUGAUCAAGUCUUGUGAGGCAGCUGAUGUUUUUCUCCGGGAUCGAAGGUGAUGCAAAAUGUUUCAAAAUCAGUGCAUUGGUGUUGGCUGGAUUUGCAACCACCAGCACCUGUAUGGUACGAGCAUGGACUGAUAAACAUCAAUUCUGCAGCAAACAUACAUUUUAAUCUACAGGUAGUAAAUACAAGAAACAAUCAAUAUACAGCUAGUCCUUUGAUAUAAGGGCAGCAGAACCUCAAGUUUGCUGUUGUGUUCAGGUGUUUAUCUAUCAAAUACUUAUAAGCAUCCACGUUCCAGGCUAAAAAUCUUUAGGAAACAAAAGAAGAAUCAAUCAGAUUUGCUCCAGUUGCAAAACCUGCCUUGCAGCCUGGGGCAGCGAACCGCUUUAAAGCCGAAGCCUGUCCUUUAUAAAUCGAUACGUUUCUGGACAUUACAUCCUUCCUCUCCAUUCCUUCCUUUCGUGGGAAUCCACCAACCAUGAUUGCUAUUUUAACACCUUUGCAAGCUUCAGCAGCCUUUGUAGUAGAAACAAUCCCUGUUGACCGAAAAAUUUAUGCUACUAAAGCAUCGCUACUAGGGACAAGUUAAUACAACUACAUUUAACUUAGCUCACUAGUUAUUAGGUUUUGACCUUUAACAAGAGGAAAGGCUGCAUCAGUCAAUUCCAUGGUUACAGCCUUCAAGGACAGAACUGCUGGUUCAAUAUCAAGCAAGUGUAUGAUUACCGGCUGAUCAGGACCUAGCAUGGCCCCUCUAGCAAUCAAUGGAACCAGAGCAUAACCUAUUUGGCCUGCAGAAACAAAAGUCUAAACAAAGUCAUUUAGGCAUUUUCUUUCCCAACAAUGAAGUAGAUAUCUCGGUUCUCAUUCUGAUAACUGAAUUAAAUAACCAGCAAUCUAACAAGAUACAAAUAGAUAAUCAUCACAUAUCAGAGUGGAAGAGAAAUUGAAGUAACAUGCCUGCAGCACCAGAUACCAAAACUUUUAUAGGUUCCUUUUUUAUUUUCGCGAGGCCCCAUAUGUAUCUAAUGAUCUUCCAUGACAAGUAUGCACAACCCAAAAGAAAUAGAGACUUCUCUAUUGCUGCCAAAUACUCCAUAUCACACGGACCACGAAAGGAACGAUGAUGAUUAUUCUGCUCAGUUUACAGCACAAUACAGGACACUGGUCAUUUAUGUAGAUAAGAACCCCAAAACAGAACUAGACGGACAAGUUACUUGAUUCCAGGGAAAUUCUGGAAUUGACAAAUCCUUAGGCCAGCAAGUGAAGUGAGGUAUAACGAAGACAAAACCAAUAAGUUAUGCUGCAAUGCUGAAGAAUAUCUUCUUUCCAACGAAAAGAACAAUCAAAUAACUUGUUACAGAUAAGUUAACUAAGAUAAGAAACAGGGUUGAUCUAAAACACGAGAAUCAAGAUGUGGUAACAAGUUUUCUUUAACGUAAAGCCGUAAAGGGUGAUAACAUGAUGAAAAAACCGCAGCCAUCAUUAUUGUUGUUAGGGGAAAAGGCUAAAGAAAGAAAAGAAUACGUGGUUUAUCAUUCAUCAUGGGCACAGGGCUAGACUACGUAUUGAGCAAGGCGAUUGAGGGAUGGUUUCCAGCUACCUAUUUUCAUGCAAUCAUCAAGUUUUAUGGCAAAAAUAUUUUCAGUUUGAUACAGUACAUUGAGAACCGGGGAAGUGGUAGGGAUACACAUAAUUAGAUUCAAUAAUUGUUUGAAACAUAUAGUAUGGGAUCAAGGAUACAGCAAAAUUUCCAGUGAAAAUGGUUUGUACUACAUAUUAAUAAAUAUGCAUAACGUGUAUAAAAGAACCACCACAUUUGUCAUUUUUAGUUAUCAAACUUGGCCAACAUGCUUAAUUUUGCAACUAGUGUAGAAUAUAAUUUCCUCAGUUUUCCUAUAAAUUUUAACAAGCUCUUCAAAUAUUCUAAUUUUUACCUUUAAACAUCUAAACCUAUCAGUGUUUUGACAAGAAAAAAAAAAUACAUUGAGUACCAUGAAAGUGGCUAAAAAGACAUUUAAUAAAAUGGUUAGAUGAUGUUGAAAUAUAAGAAAUAAAUGUUUUAGACUGAUUCUUCCAAAACAAAGGAAAAACAAUCAUUACUUGACAAAUUGUCAAAAAUCCAAAAGGUAAAAUUAAGUUAUGAAAUAUCAAACUGCGCAUUUGCCCAAAACAUAAAUUAGCUACUUGAGAUAUUGAUCAGGUGCUUAAUUCCUUAAUUUGACCAUCAAAUUCUCCCAUCUUCCCUUCCCUCGUUAUAAGGUUUGUGACUCCAAACGUUUGGGUCUGUUUAGAUUGCCUAGUUUUUCUUCUACAAAAUUUUUUAACGAUUUUAGUUACGGUUAAGGUUGUAUUAUGCGGAAAUUAACCACGCUAAAAAUUGUAGUAAAUGCUACUAUACUUGAUGUUUAGCCCCAGAACUUGCGCAGCAGUAAGAACUUGCCACAGAAAUUCUCUAAAUCACAGAAAAGCCCCGAAUUACUUGAAGGAUGAAUCUUUUCGGUUACUGACCGACACCGAGCCUGAGCUCAGACUUCCUCUACAGCAACCCGAGAAAGGGCGGAAAGAAUAGCAUCAAGAAUCCAAUCCCUAGGAUACAUUUAUCAGAUUGGAGCUGUACAUAGAGAUGCAACGAGUGAAAUCUGCCUCAUCUGUUUUAAGCCGUUAUACAGCAAAUAAUAAUGGUGGCUUUAUCUCCAGGCUAAAACGAUGCCUUUCUUCUCUGUCCAACAGUCCCCUCACCGAUGAUCAGGAAAACUUUGUAAGUUUUCACUCUUCUAAUCUUUUUGGCUGUAUUUGUUUUACAUAAUCAACACUUUGACGAAGACUUCUCGACGACUUUGUGUUUUCAGGUGUUGGUGGAGGGAAAUGGCGCUUCCAGAACUGCAAUUCUCAAUAGACCCUCUGUGCUUAAUGCCCUUAACACUUCAAUUGUGCGUGUCCCAUUUAUCAAGAUUCCUCCUUUUUCUUGUUUUUAUUGAUAAAUUUAGUCAUGUGGGCUGUAGUUUUCUCCAAGUUCUUCUGGACCAUUUUUUGUUGUUAGUAAUUGCUUGAUGUUGUUAUGGAAUUUAAGGGGGCUAGGUUACAAAAGCUGUACUCAAGUUGGGAGGAUGAUCCUGAUAUCGGGAUUGUGCAAUUGAAGGUAUCUCUUUUCCUUGCUAACUAUUGUGAGUGUUUGCUUCUUAUCAAUUCUGCGUUUUCUGCACUUUAUGCGAAGUAAGCCAAUCAUAGUUUUGGAACUGUUGAAGGGCAGAGGCAGGGCAUUUUGUGCUGGUGGUGAUAUUGUAGCUCUUUAUAAUGUGAUACGCCAAGGUACGAAACCAUAUAUUUUUACUUGCUUCAAGUGUUUAUGACAUUAAUUGAACUAAUCCAGAAAGAAGAAAAAGAAAUUUAUUCAGGGAUUGGGAGUGUUGUGCUGACACCAAAUUUAAGAAAUUCAACCAUGUUUUUUUUUUCUCAACAUUGCCAUUUGUAUCGAACGACCAAAUGAAGUUAAUAGUGUUUCAAGCUCUAGUGACUUGAUUCUGUAGUUAACAACCUAACAUGAUCAAUUGCUCGGGCAUCAACACUUCUGAAUUUAAAUUCUUAGAAACUUUCUAGUGUUCUUUUUCUUAUGUAUCAAUCUCACUUGAAGAUAUUAGUGGACUGACUCCAGCCUUACUCCAACUAAUUUGAACUGUUGUACAUGGCAAGUUUUAACCUUCUUCUGGUUUCUUGGUGGAUAUAUAUAUAUAUAUAUAUAUAUAUAUAUAUUGAUGAAAGAUCAUAGACCUGAAAAGCAAAAUGUUGUUAAUAUUAAUAUUGUUAAUUCUCAUAUUACUGCCUUUUGGAAAAAACGAAAUAAUUGUGAAAAGAAGCCUUUAUUCUAUUUACAAAAGGUCAUGGAUUGUUGAAUAAGUUGAGAGUAAUUAAAUUCAAGAUUCAGGAUGACUUAGGAAUGAGAUUAUGAGGCUUUUAAUGGGAAUUUGACGGAACUUUGCUUCUAAAAUUUAACUUUUUCAACACUUCUGCACUAUUUAUGCUUUAGUUGUUUCUCUGUCAUUCACAAAAGUGAUGCAGCAUGUGAAUUUUUGUCCUGCUGUUGAGUGCCAGCUCUUUUGCUUAUUUUCUUGACAAUAACCUCUUUACUUCAGUUUUGUUCUUUGCCGUCUUUGGAUUAAUGAUUAAUCAAGUUCUUGUUCAAUUUAUUCAGGGAAUAUUGAACAGGGUAAAGAAUUCUUUUGGACAACAUACAAUUUCAUUUAUAUGCUCGGUACAUACUUGAAACCACAUGUAAGUAUCAUUUUCUUCUAAUUUCUAGGUCAAGCACAAAUAUAGUAGUCGUCAUGUUGAACAUGCUCUUUAGGGCUACAUACGGCUUUCAAAUAUGAUACUGUUGUAUGAUUCAAUUUCCUUCUUGUGUCCAAAGUCCCAAAAAGGGCUUGUACUGAAAAUAGUCAAAAUUAGAGAAGUAUCUUUAUCUUCAAUAGCUCCUUUCUUGAUUAAUAGAGAGAAUGGAAGAUAGAGGAAAUUGAGCAACUGAACUUCAUAAAGUCCAAGAGGUCUAAAGAAGCCUCCAAGCUAAGUAGAAAUAAGAUUCUUGUAACAUAAUUAUACUCAAAUGGUUAAAUUUUGUUACUCGUAGUUAUUUGACUAUACAAGUGGUCAUUUUUACUAGAUUGCUAUGUUUAAAAGUGGCCCAAAACUUCCAACAAAUUAGUUAAAUCUUCCACCACGUACAGAAUAAAAAGCUCUCCAGCAUGUUUGUGCAUGUGAUGUUCGCCAGACACACACAGAUACACACACCAACACGCGCAGAAUCAAUUUCCCAGCUACCUAUGGGAUAGGGAUAGAAGAAGAGAAAAAACAGAAGAUUUCACAUUGUACUUUUGAUCCUGUUCGAUCCCAAAGAGAAGGAAAAGAUCUGAAAUUGAUUCUCGUUGUAAUUUUUCUGGCCUCCGUAACUCAUGUGUUGCUUAUUGUUUGAUCGUCAGAGUAAAUAUGUCUGUGUUAACUGUCACCAUUAUCAUCCUUAUUUCUCUCUUGUCUCAUCAUGUUUGUUAUAAUCGAGUGGCACAUAUAAUCAGUGAGGUGGCAUUUUGAGGAGCUGAUUUACUAUUGUUUUAUUAAACUGUAGCAUGCAUUGAUGUUGAUGCAGGUUGCACUAUUACAUGGAAUUACUAUGGGUGGUGGAGCUGGAGUCUCAAUUCCUGGAACAUUCCGAGUCGCAACUGAUAAAACUGUAGGAAACAAGCAGACUUUUUAACUUCUUCACUUUCCUUCUUGCAGAAGUCUGUUAAGUAGUGCAUACAAUUCCUAGGUCAACCAUCCAACGUUAGUGUUCUCACUAACUAGUGUUUGGAUUAAAACAGAAAAAAUAAUAAUCUGGAAUUGUGUAAGGUGCACACCUCAUUCACAUAUGUGUCAAUGUGGUGAAAACAUAAAAUUUUUAAAUAGGUACAAAGAUUGCAUUAAGGAACAUUUGAAUUUACUAUGGAGACAAUGACAAGGAAUGUUCGUUAUUUGUCAUAUGUUUUAGUGGUUAGUCAAGAAUCUGACACUAUGCAUGUUGGGUAAGAAAAUAGUUGGAGAAGAUCAGCAUGUUAACUGAGUACUCGGUUGGAUGUAAAUAGGGUAUUGAAGGAACACAGAAAGUUUGCAUUGACCUUCAAAAAAGUAUAUUGAUGUUGCGUCUGGUUUUAUAUCAAAUAAGUUAUUUUCUAUUUGCUUAUUGUGAAUAUUUCUUUUGUAGGCUAUGUGAAUAUUCAUCUUAAAUAUCAAUGAAGCUGAAUCUUUGUUCUAAUAUCUCUAGGUUUUUGCUACACCUGAAACAUUAAUUGGUUUCCACCCGGAUGCUGGAGCAUCUUUUUACCUCUCACAUCUGCCUGGUUAUUUAGGUAUGUAUUGACAGUCAUCAAAUUGUGUUUUGAGCCGUUAUUUAUGUCUAGCGGACAUCACCAAUUGGUUUCAUAUUUCCAUAUAAGAAUUUUGUUGCUGUUUUGUUCAUUUUUCAAAUUUGUACUUGGUUAUCUUCUGACUUCAUAUGUUACCAGCUUUAUCUCAAGUAGCAUCCAUCAAAAAUUUUGCCAAGUGUCCUGUCCAUUUUUAUUUAAUAUAAGGGCCAAGUUUGAUGCCAACUUAAGUGAAGAAUCACUCUUUAGUUAUACUAGCAUAAGUUUCUUUCUUUUCUUCUCCUUUUCUCUUUCAAGGUUUUAAGCCUGGUAUUUUAAGUCUAUAGGAAUUACACCGAACAAAGCUUUCACAUGAAAAAGAAUUAAAUCUUCCCAGUAAGGCAGUUGGUGCUUUGAUCUCUUGGUAACCACAACUAUUCUUAUUCACCCAUCUGCUAUAACCAUAAUAAUGUACUUUUGCAUUUGUCUAGCUACAAAAUCAAUUCAAUUUGAAUGUCGUUCCACUCUUGAAUAUAUGUCUGUAAUACUUAUUGACCUGUUGUUGUUCUAGGAAGAUUAGUUUUUGCCAGUUAUACAUCUGAAUCAUGGUGGUAUCGAAAAACUAGAAGUUAAUAAGAAUUGCAGAAGAGUAGCUCACUUUUAUAUCUUGAUGACCUCUGGACUCUGGGGCAAAAGAGUGUCAAAAAAUGAUUAGGAAGCAUAGAGUUGAGAUUGUUCACUGCUGAAAUCUUUGCUCCCUAUCUGAUCAGAACUUUGCCUACUGCAAAAUUACUAUUUUUGUACUAGGUUGAUUGACUGGGCAGUCAACUGAUUAGAAGGAUCUAAUGGUAUCGCUGUUAGCAGGAGAGUACUUGGCCCUCACUGGAGACAAACUCAAUGGAGUGGAAAUGCUAUCCUGUGGGCUUGCUACACACUAUUCACUAGCUGCUGUUAAUACCUUUGAACUUAAGUUUGUAUUUCUGUGUUUUUUUCUGUCUUCAAAACAAAUUUUCACUUUUUCUUCUUUGCAAUGGUAUAGAAGCUUCCUUUAAUUGAGGAACAACUUGGAAGCUUGGCUACUGAUGAUCCGUCUGUCAUCGAAGGUUCUCUGCAAAACUUUGGAGACCUUGUCCACCCAGAUCCAACAAGUGUGGUUCACUGGUAAUCAUUUGCCUAUAGAAGGAUUUUGGGAGAAUGUCUAUGUAAUCUCAAUUUAUUCUAUUAACAGUCAUCUCGUUCUCAAGCCAAUCACCAUGAUACCGUAUUCCUCGUUAUCAGAAUGACAUCAAAAGACAUACUAACUUGGGCAGUAGCUGAGGAAAUUCUCGAUCACUACAAAAAAAAAAUCCAAUCAACUUAUUUUAUCAAGUGCAGAAGCGUUUGGCUUCAUGAUUCUUAAUAUUAAGUACAGCACAAUAAUCUCACUUGGGAUCCUCGGUGACAAAGUUUUCUAUGCCAACUCAAUGCCACCUAUAAUAUUUUGUCAAGUGUCCUGUUAUUAUUUGCACUUUAAUUUUCUAAUAAUUCAACUGGUUUGAUUUAACACAAGUUUUUUCUAUUCUCUAAAACUUUGAACCAAACCAAACCAACCGAUCUAAUUCCAUUCAUCAUUGAUUGCCUUCGAACAAAAUUGCACAGGAACUCUUUUUGACGUUGAUUGCUUUGAAAAAGCCAAAAAGAGAAAAUUCCCUGAAACUAGUGUGCUGAAAAUUCCGAAAUGGUGACUCGCACCGCUGCUGGAAAUUCUUUCAGCUAUAUUGUUGGCUGAUUCCGAUGAGCUCCACACUUCAACGACGUCAUCCUUUUGAUUCCUCCACCAGCUCCGCCAAUUAAGAAAGAUAACACUGCUCCAAGUAAAUGUACCUUCUCUCAAAGGAGGACGUAAAUCUGGUGCCCAGUUUUGCAGUUCCCGGCUGAUGCCCAAUUGAAUAGCACCAACCUGACCUGCUCCGAGGAGUGCCCAAUAGCAAUUAGCUGAUAACAAAAGAAAAUUGCUAAAGUUGAAUUGAAUCAUCAAAUAACUCAUCCUAGGCAGGUAGAAUGAUUCCACACACAGCUUGCAUGAUUAAGGAACCACGUGGUUUUAAAUUUGCUCGAAAAAUUAAUCCCACGGUAAGGACUAAAACCUCAAACACCACCAACCAACCUCCCAAAAGAGACCCCCAAAAAAAAGCAAUAAUAAUCAAAGAAGAAAGAUUGAAGCAGAGCUAAGUUACAUCAAAGAAACACUGGGGUUUCAUUGGUUAUCAAAGAGCCGCAGACAUAGCCGCAGAAAGCUUUAAUUUGAGGACUUCCUGAAUAGGUCUUGUCAAUUUGCUUCAACAGUCGAAGGCUACAGUUUUAGCUUAUUAGGCAACGGUUGAAGCUUUCAGGGACUUUUUCUCUUUUUGACUUUGUUCAAAGCAAUCAACGAUGAAAAGGUUCGGACUUUGGAGGCAAUUUUGUUUAGGGUUAUCUUUUUCUUUUUCCUAAAGCAAUCGAUCUUGAGUGGUUGCUGUACAAAAGUAUUGGUAAUGGAAUUAGACCGGUUGAUUUGGUUUGGUUCAAAGUUUUAGAGGAUAGAAAAAACUUGUGUUAAACCAAACCAAUUGAAUUAUUAGAAAAUUAAAGUGCAAAUAAUAACAGGACACUUGGCAAAAUAUUAUAGGUGGCAUUGGGUUGGCAUAGAAAACUUUGUCACCGAGAAUCCCAAGUGAAAUAAUCUUGCCCAAACAGCUAUAGAAAAACAGCUAGGAUGGCACCCAAAGAAAGCUCAAAAACCUUGAUCCAAAUAAAACUGCCCAGCACAUAAAAUACUACCGUCCACUCAGUGGUCGUAUGACCGCUACCAUCUUCCCUGAUGCUGUCACUCAAUCUUUAAAGAUCCAAAUGAACUAGAGAUAGAGCGGCCUAGUGUGUCAUCAAAGACAUAGCAGACGUCCCCAACAUCUGGAAUUUCAAAAUGGACCUGCUUGCAUUUAUAUCCUCCAUCUGAGAAAGCAUCAAGCAUGAGCUUUUUCACCAAUUUCGGUAGGAGCACCCUCAUGGUGCUAUUAGGUCCAAAGUUUCUGAAUCUGACUUUCUUAUCCUGAAACAAUUGAAAAGCUGUUCGUUCAGAAAGAGUUGAAUCCGUCCUGUAAAACCUCACAACCAUUCUUACAUGCAACUUCUGUUAACAUACCGAAUUUUCUGUCCAUCCAGUAUUCAGCCACGAUCCGUUCAAUGCUUUCUCAUCCCCAAAAAGCAUCAAAUAUCUAGUCCCCAGUACUCAACCGAAAGCGUCACUAAACAACACUUAAUUGACAUAAUAUCAGGAAUUGUAUUGUUCCAGAAUUUCAACAAUAUCUAAGAUGAAUGAGAUUAUGGAACACAAGGCUAUAGAUCAAACAAUAAUAUGUUUUCAGAUCAAUAUAACUAACACCCAUCAUACCCCAAAAGUUUUGAUCGACUCGAAUAGGUCAAAACUCAACUUGGAUCGACUUGUUUGUAACCUUAGCAAUGGUUGUGUUAUGCUAUGACCAGUUCUACCUAGUAUAUAUACAUACAUAUAAAUAUAUACACAUGCAUAAAUAACCAAGGCAUGUCAACUUCCAUUUCGGUCUAAUGUUUUGCUACUCGAGCGUCGUACUAGUUUUUGUCCUAAUUAAGUAAAGUCCAUAAUAUAUCAAAGCAGACAAGAGUUCUAGCAAAUGAACAUUUCCACUAAAACAAGUACUUAACUAGAUAAAAUUGUUGAAAAUUGUAGUGAUUUGGCCUUGACUGAUAUGCACAAGAGCAACUUUUGCCUGUUUGGAUUGUUAUUUUUUGAAACUUUUGUAGAAAAAUAUACUGUAUCUAUUUAAUAUAUAUAAGAAAAAAUGAUAAUUAAAAAAUGUAUUUACCGAGAGGUAAAAUUUUUUUUUUAUAAAAUUGCAAUCGAAACAUGGCAUAUAUUUCGAGGAUAGAUUUUGUGUCUUACCAUUCGAACUCGAGCAAUUUGAUCUCAAUUUAUUCCUGAGAGAGCUUAUUCUUUUACACAAGUUGAACUCAAGUUUCAAAAUUAAAAAAAGUUUAUCGUGCACGGGUUUAGGUAGCUUACUUCGAACUCAACCUAGAAUACAUUUUCAGCGUGUGAUGCAACCCACGAACAGAACGUUGGUUGACCCGCUUAGAGCAUAUUACAAAAAUAUAAAAAAAAAAAAAAAAAAAAAAAAAAAAAAAUUUUGCUCAUGCAUAAACCAACCCAGGUCUGUAAAAGGGAGUGUUAGUAAAAGAGGAAGCGGAAGACGGGUUGAAAUACUGAAUAUGCAAGGGAUUCCGAAGAGAGAUAGCUAGCACUCCUUCCUUCUGCAGCUCAUUCACCUUCGACCACAAAACAUCUGUGUAUUCAUGGAAGUAAUUGAAUAAGGUAAAUCUCAAAUUGUUUCCUUUCUUCUAAAAAUGUUUGUGUCUUCAAAAGUGGUCUUGUCUUCUUUCUUUUUGUCAAAUUUAGUAAUCAAAUGUUAAGGGACACCAAUUUUUCCUUUUUGUUCCUAAAUUUGUCAGCUAGAAAGUAGUUUGGGGCCCCCAUUUUUAGUCAAAGGAGUUGUGGGUACUGAAUACCUCCUAAGAACUGCAAAAAAGGAAUACUAAAUCCUGGAAUAGGCUGACUUUGAGAUUCAAAUGUGUGUGUGUGUGUGUGUGUUGUUUCUUUUGAGUUAAUAAUGGCUAUGGUUAAGACAGUUUGAUAGGGAAGUUUCAUGGAUGAAAUACACGGCUUAGCAUGUCAUACUUCUCGUGUGCUAUCUGUAUAAAUUUAGCUGCUCGUUUCAUACUAGAAAACUAAUUGUCUUGAAAGUUUACCCUUGAUUUCUUUUCUGUAGGGUGAGUUUCCAUUCACUACUCAAGAAACUCAACAAAUUUAUGCGACUUGAGUUAGGUUUCUUCGGAACUUAUGGUACCUUGGCUAGGUUGGAGUACUAGUUAACCAAGAAAAAUAUAUAAACAGAAAUCCAAACUAGUUUUCUUUGCAAGUACCUUGAAUUUUAAGUGGCAUAAUUAACUAAAUUUUGCAACUUAUCAACCUGGUUAAUUAACAUCGGCUAUGUAACAUUCGCAAAACAAUUAAUUGGACUUGUUGAACAACUUAAAAUGGUGAUUUGCAUUUUAAAGGUAUUAAUCAGCAUCCUUUUCGAACCAUGCUUUGUUAAUUAUUACCUAAUUGUUUCCCAUGCAUGCUUUGUGCACAUAUAGGUGCAGUUACAAAAUCUCCUAGACAAAUUAAGUGCCAAAAUCCUAUAUAGGUUGCAAUUCUAAGUUCGUGCGUCCUGUAUUUUCAUCAUUGGAAGACGAGGUCUCUGGUUUGUGACCAAUACGCAUCUCUUGUUUGUUACCAACGAUCAUUUCUUGAACUGGGGGAGGAUUCACAAUUGUUGUUUCGGUUGCAUGAUAAUUAGAAAGGCGGCACUUCAUCUCCCUGUGCUCUUGGCAUAUAGCACACCAAUGUAAACAUAGGUGCACCAAUGAAGGCUCACAUGGUGAAUCCUGUAAGCAAACAAUGACAUAGAUACAUGAGAACCAUCUAAAACACUAUAGAUUUGUCCUUUUGGGAAUUAAACCUAAAAAAGCAUGGCUCCGUAAAUGUUUUUUAGAGUGUUUUUAAAAUAUUUUACUGUAAUAAUGUACGUGAAAAACUUUUACUGUACCUAUUUUUAACAGUGUUUUUGAGAAUAAUUUUGAAAAUAUAUUUUGGGUAUUUUUAAAAUUUAAAAUUUUAAUGAGAUAUUUUUAAAAUUGCAUAAAACCUUACCACCACCCACCACCACCCCUUCCCCCCCUCCCUCCUCCCUCCUCCCUCCUCCCCUUCCCUAUUUUUGAUAGUGUUUUUGGAGGUAUUUUUGGGGAUAUUUGGGAUGUAUUUUGGGGGCAUUUUUAAAAUUUAAAAUAUGUUGGGGUACUUUUUGAAAAAUUUACACCACUUACCACUACCACCCAUCUCCACCACCUCCUCCCUCCUCUCUCUCCCCCUCCUCCCUUUUCCCUCUCUUUCUCCUUCCUCACUUCCCUCCUCCAUUCUCCCCCUCUUCCUCCCUCCUCUCUUUCUCCUUCCUCCCUACCCCUCUUCCCCUACUCCCUAGACCCACUUGAAGAUUGCCGGCCUAACCUUCUUGGUCGCGACUAGUGCCACCAAAAGGUCGCAGCUGGAGCUACUGCUGGUUCUUGGGGGAGGAGAGAAGGAGGGAGGAGGGGAGAAAGAGGGAGGGGGAGGAGCAACGGUGGAGGUAAUAGUGAUGGUCGAGGAGGGAGUGGUAGAUGGUGUUGGUGUUGGUGGGUGGUGGUGAUUGGAGGAAGAAGAAAAGGUGAUAGGAUUUAUUUUUAUUUAUUUAUUUUUUUAACUUGUAUUUGAAAUAUGAGUGUUUUUUGAUGGUGUUUUUGGAGUGUGUUACUGUAGAUUUGUAGAUGAAAAACAAGUAUUUCAAAAACUCUCAAAUCCGAACGGAGCUCCGGUAUUUAGUUCGCAUGGAAAAUAUUAGCCAAAAGCGAUAGCAAUGCAUGAUUCACUGAUUCUGCAAUGCGGUCUCAAACAUUUCUGCACGCAAAUAGCUUUCUCUUAAAGUAAUAAUAUGAGAUCACCUUUAAAUGAUACUUUCUCUGUAAUGCUUGCCGUGCCAUGCCCGUGUAGACACCACAUAUCCACCAAGUGCAGAGAAGACCUUCUGUUAUAAGCCCUACUGUCUGGGGAUCAAUAGCACCAUUAAACGCAGCCAUAAGUGCUGCAAGAGUAAUGCCGCCUUCGAUGCAUAUCACAUGACCCAUACAUGCGCAAGAAUAUGAGACUUCAUCACUCAAACUCUCAACAUUGCGUCCAAAUAACACACAGGGGCAAAACAAUCCAGUCCAACCUGCAAACAAAGAUCAUAUAUAUAUAUUAGAUCGAUAUUACAGAAAGUAACACUACUUAUAUAUAUAUGUAUAUAUCAGUUGCAAAUUAAUUUGUUUCUAUAUGUCUUCUAUGCUUAAUGAAAAUACGUUUUGUUAGAGAUCUUACAGCUAUCUGGAUCAUCAGCACAACCAAAAAUCCCAGUACUCCAGUCUUCGUUAGCAGGGGGAUGGUAGCUUUCAGGCAAAGCUUGACCACAUUGAGGACACCUAGCUGCAGUUAUCUGAUAGAUGAUGCCGUGAACUACUCACAUUAAUUAUGUUUUCAAGGUGCAGUAAAACAGUCACAAACUUUGCAAAAAAAAAAAACAGAAAUACACAUGCAGAUUGUUAGAGGUUAUUGAAGUAACUUCUUCCAUGAGAUUUGUACAUAACAAAUAUUAUGAUUAGUUAUUGACUACCCAAAUCAUAUAAUGUGUCGAGUACGAAGUUAAUCUUGUCACCUUGAUUUGGUUAACAUUUAUGCACAGACGCUUUCUCAAGUAUCAAGCUAGACAUUCAUUAAAUUUGCUUUUACGAAGUUAUUCACUAGCUAGUUUACAAGUUCAUAGAAAUAUACUAUAACUAAUCAUACUUUUAAAUCAUGGGUUAUAUAUGAGAGAAUACAAAAGAAAAAUUACUGCUAUAUAUAGUAGGAUUAAUCUUCUAUACACUGACAGUGUAUACACUUUCACCAGUAGAUGCAUGACACAUAAUCCGAAUUUGAAUAAAACUUAAAUUUUGUAUAUGUGUCGUAUAUCCAACCGUGACAGUGUGUAUACGCCGUCAGUGUAUAUAAGAUUUACUCUAAUUAUAUAAUAUAUCUUCUAAGUUUCUAACCAUUUUACAUGAUACAACUUUCUCAUAUUAUCUAUACGAAUACUCCUGCAUAUGGGAGAUAUCAGAUGUGUGCUAUGAUAAUCAUACACAACUAUAUAUACCCUAUAUCUGAUGAUAUAUAGUGCUUUUUUUUUUGGGUACAAUAUUUGAUGAUAUGAAGACAUAGCUCGUGUAUUAUGUUUGAAUAUUAUUAUGACAGCUGAAGAUGGCUCAAAGAUUGAACCCAUAUAUAAAUGACGAUUAACAUACAUAUUAUCGUGUUCAAAGGAUAUAAUAGCUGAUGUUUAAUAUGGGGACUACCUGAACAACAUCGAUAGGUUGAUUAAGCUCUCCUGGAGUGAUGUCCUCCAACGCCUCUUGCUCCUUUGUCAAUUGUACAUAAGUCCCAUCAACCAUGUUUAGUAGCUUUCAAUGGCCGAAGACAAAGGCUAAUUGAAUAUUUUGGUAAAAUUUUGUAUAGAUGCUAUGGAACGUAAGAACGAUUGACAGAAGCACAUCAGGAAAACUGAAUGUAAUAAGAAAGAAAAUCCAAGCUCUUGAACACAAAAAAAUGAAUGAAAGUUGUUACAUAUGGAUAGAGAAAAAAAGAAAGGAGAACGUCAAAUGAGACAUUCUAGGCACUCAUGCCCUCUAUCUCUCUCUCUUUCUCCAUAUCCCUCUCCUUCCCCUUCCUCUCUCCACCUCUAUCCUUUCUCCGUUACAAAGCUGAGGCCUAUGUUGCACAUCGACAUUGAAAAUAGGAGAUUAAUAUGAGAGAAAUGGAUCAUAGUCCACCCAAAUUGCUUAAGCUCAAUAGGCCAGAUCACAUUGCAGUUGUCCAUUUUCUAUUUUGAUUGGUCAAGUUCAAGCUUCACGAGGAAAGAAUUAUUACAUUCGCUAUUUUUAAGGUUCGGGCAUUGGUGGGGUUCAAAUUCCAUAUGAAGCGGAAAAAAAAUUCAAGGGUGAUACUAAAACAUUUCUUUGGUCUAGUAAGAUGUAUAUACCUGCUAGUGCUCAACACAAGCUUCUUGAGGCUCCUUCUUCUCCUGUAAUCUAGGAUAAAAUAGGUUAUACAAUUGUUAUCGUUUUCGGGAAAAAAAAUGGGUAUUGAGUAACAAUAUUAGCAUAAUAAAAAAAAUGAUUAAGUUAGAUGAAUUUAAGUAAAAAUUAUUUGUCAAGAAAGAAGUUUUGAUCUAGUGGCUUUCCUUCUAAACCUGUCAACUGUUGACUAAAUUAAUUAAGAGUUUUUCCUGACUAAAUUAUUUAAGAGUUUUUUUUAAAUUGUUAUUGGACAGUUAGUUAAUGCACACACUCUAUAAUUAAUGCCUUGCAUGAACUCCAUAUUAACCAAUGGAAAAGUUUAGGUUGGACUUAGUUGGAAGAAAUUCUUUUAAGAGAUAUUUUUUAAGCACAUUUUUUAUUCCAGCAUUUUUUUUCUCUCAGACAUAGUAAUAUAAAGAGAAAUGCUAUAGUAAAAUAUUUUUUUGUUUAGCUACUAUUGUAAAUAUUUUUGUAAAUUAGAAAAAAAAGCUUUUGUCUCAAAACACCAUGGGUGCCAAACGGAUCCUUGCUUGAGAUUUAUUGAAAGAAAAAUAAUUGUCGCUUCUGGAAUAUAAUACACAAGAAAAUCCACGUCAAACUUCAGAAAAUAUCCCCUUGCUUGGAUUUUACUUCCAUCAAUUAAUUAAUCUCCACGGUCCCCGUCUCCCCUCAUAGGAACCGUACUUUUCUCCCGCCUCAUUUCACCACCACCGCCGCCGCCACGUACCACCACCUCUGCUACUAUCACCACCACUCGGAUAAACAGAGUUCUUCCUAACAAAAUUCAAAAUGCAAAGACAAAAACCUAAUUACAGUUCAAAUUUCCCAAUGAAUUCAGCUCGUCAACUCAUCGAUUCCCUAACUUCCCACCUCUCUUUGUACCACUCAAGUUUCCCGAAUUCAAACCCUAAUCCUAACCCCAGAUCAUCAAUUAUCAAAUGGUUCUCAUCUUUGUCAGUCCAACAACGCCAAGCUCACCUCACAGCCGUUGAUUUCAAGUUCACCCAAACCCUUCUCGAAAUGCUCCUCAAGCUCAAGACCAAUGGUCAUGGAUUCUUCUUCAUCCUAGCCGAUAUUCCCCGUGCGGCUCCUGAUUACCGCCACGCGUCCGGCAGCAUUAGCCUCCCCAGCCUCUUGUUUCGUAAGUCUAACGGGUUGUUGUCCCGAGUCGCUGGGGCAAAUCAGUUUGAGCUGGCUAUUCGCGAGUCUAUUCGGUUGUUCAGCUCGGAAGAAGGUGAAAACGUUAAUGAUUUUUCGCGGUUAGGGGCUGAUGUUUGUAUUGAUUCGAUUACUGUGAGUGAGGAAUUUGUUGAAAAUGUGGAGAUGUUUGUUGAGAUCAUGGAUGGGGUGUCGAAUGGGGCAUUUUUGAGAGGAGAGGAAAGUGGAGGGUUGGCGGCCGAAUGGCCAGAAAUGGAGUGGUUGAAGGCAAAGGGGUAUUGUAGCAUGGAGACACUCGUGGCAAAUAGAUUGGAGGUUGCAUUGAGGUUGGCUUGGUUGAAUUGUAAUAACAGUGGGAAGAAAAGAGGUGUGAAAUUGAAGGAGAAGAUCAAUGGGGCUGGGGUUGCAGCAAAUGUGUUUGGGAGGAAGAAGGGGUGUAUAGAUUGGUGGACGAAGUUGGAUGAGGCAAUGAAGAAGAAGGUGUUUCAAUUGGUAGUCGGAAAAGCAGCAAAACUUCUGGUAUAUUUUGUUGUGGAACUUUUCUUAUUCUAUGAUUUUAGUUUUUCUAAAUUGCACGUAAUGCAGCUUACGAUUAAUAUUUGGUGAAUGAUGAUUUUCUAACAUAUAAAUUUGGGAAUCAUCUAGUGGUUCUGGUUUUUGUUGCAAACCUGAUUAUGCAUUUAAUCUUUAGUCUUGACGGUAGAAAAUGGUGUGCUAGUCUUGAUAGCUACCUUAUCGAAAAUAAAAUUCUAGGUUGUUCACUGUCAAAUAGAAUUGACCUACCAAGUUGGCUAAACUAUAAUAUCCAGACAAAGGUCAAAUGCGAAGGGGAGUUGGUAUUACCUAAAUUAGUGUAUAGGAGUAGGUAACUUUCUGUGAGUAAGGAAGAAGGGUAGUGUGAUUUUAUGAGAAAAGAUGGGUUAAUUCAUGUGAAAUCAAUUUUCUCUUGCCAAUGCAAGCCAUAUGGGGAAGCAUAUAAUAUGUAUGAAAUGAAGUUGGGAAAUAGAGCAAAAAAAAAGAAGAAGAAAAUAUAAUAAGGUGGUUAAAAGCAGCACUAAUGGCGACAUGCUGACAAAGAUCAUAAGAUGUUACAAGUACCCCCCAACCCCAAAAGGGGAAAAAAGAGUUGCUGAAGCAUGAUUUGUAAUUACUCGUCGAGUAGCUGCCUGAGAAAAAAUUCACACUUCUUCUAAUCAUUUAUAGAGUUGGGUGAAAAGUCUAAUGAGUAAAGAGCUUAUAACAUAUGACUGAUAAAGAAAUGGUUAUGAGAAUGGAAUGACUCAGCAAUCCUUAAUUCUGCUGCAAGCAAAUGAUGACUGUUGUACAUUGCAUUCUUUUCUGCUUCUUUUUUUUUUCCCCAUUUUUACAUAUGGUGAUUUCUUGCAUUAUGAUCUUCUUGAAUGAUUGCUUAUAUUAAUUUUAUUUACCAAACCCCAGAAAAUUGAGGUUCUUAAUUUGUUGGAAGCUUGAUCUGAUCCCUGAUUGUUGUAACUGUCAGACUGCUGAAACUUUGAAAGGUAAAGAUGUCUUGGAGAAUGAGAGGAUGCUCAAUCCCAACACUGAACAACCAUUGGCAUACAACACCUUUUUGUCACUUGAAGAAAAUGAUGGGCGUCCCCCAAUACCAGAUUCAAAAGUUGAGUGCAGGGCUUCUGUAUCAGUUUCUAAAUAUCCCUUCCAACUAAAAUGCAUGCUUAGUGUUUUGAUUCUUCUCGAGGAUAUUUCUUCUAUGUUGUUAGUGUUUCAGCAUAGUGGAUAUAAUGAGGACAAGCUGUUUUUUAGUUCACUGGAUUCUGUUAGUACAACUUCUGACCUUAUAUUAAGAAAAUUGCGGGAUAUACUCAUGGUGAUUUCACUUGAUUGUACAAAAUUUGAGCUACUUGAAGAGGGAAAAAUGAGUUCCUCAACAAAGAAGCAGAAGGAAAAGCUUGGUACUAGUAACCACAAGAAAAAGGGGAAGAAUCGGAAUUUGAAAAAGCUUCAUUCUGCAGCAAGAUCUUCAGAACUUGAUAAUUCACUUCCUAAACCUGCAAAGGUACAUUAAAUCCUCGCAGACUCCUUCUAGAAAACUGAAUCAAUAUGGAUGAAAUUUUCACUAGCAGUAGACCUUAUUCUGUUGAAGCGUAUUUCAGGAAAAUGGUACUGGACUUCCACAUAAAAGAAGUUAUAAUUUAAGUCCAUCAAGCAAGGUUUCUGAAAAGGUUAAGGAGAGAAAUCCUUCGACAGAGUGUCUUGUCUCAAGAAUUGACAUGGUUGUACUUGUCUUUUUUCAUAUGAUAUAAAUCAUUUUAAGCUAAUAAUUGAAAUGGUUUAUAACUGAUUGACUGUCACCAGGCCCGCAAUAAUGGAAGUGCUUCCAGGAAGAGUAAAAAACAGAGAAACAAACUUAGAAGUUCCAGCACUCAUAGCUCAGUAGAAAUUGAAAGUUGUCAAAGAAGAGAGGUGGAAGCUGUCUUAGUUUCCUCUAAUUGUCAGAAUGGGAAUGCAGAGUCUGAUUGUAUAGCUGAAGAUCCAAUUAUUGAUAAUGCACAUGAAGGGAUAGGAAAUGAUAAACAUGAGCCGAAUUCAAGUAAUUCUACAGUUCCAAAGCCUCUUAACUCUGGUAAUUCUGAAGGCACUAAAAAUCCUGGUUUCAGGGACUGCCAGAACUCUGGCAUAGUGGUUGUAACUAAUGGAGCGGUUGCCAGUCUUGAGUCUGUAAAAGGCAAUGUGGACUGCGAGGCAUCUCCUUCUAUGCCAACACAAUAUUUGAUUGAUGAUUUAGGCAGUGUGGAAACCAAGAGGGCAAAGAGUAAGCAGCAACAUGAGGUGGACAGAAAAUCAAGACUUUUGACAAAACUGAGCAAAGAUAGCAAUGUCAAUGGAAAAGCUACUCCAUUUAGGGAGCAAGGUACAUCUGGACUCUAUGAUAUAGGCAUUAUAAACUCUUCUGCCUAUCUCUCUUAUGAAUGGCCAACUGUAGCUCCUAUACAGAUUCCACCUUGUAAUUCGCAUCUCCCGGCUGCUACUGAUAGAUUGCACCUGGAUGUUGGUUAUAAUUGGCAAAAUCACUUCCAUCAAUCCUUUGUACCAGCAGUUCAUAGAGUGAGAAAUUCUCCAGUUGAAACUGGGUGCAGUGGCAUUACAUCUCAACCAUUACCUAUGAGUUUAGACUGGCCUCCAAUGGUGCGUGGUGUCAAUAGAAUAGCUCCUUCAGUCGCUUGCAACUAUGAUUCAGGGUUCAUCUCAAGGCGGCAAUCUUCUUUUCAGCAGGGCUUCUCAGCUUCAGGUGUCCACUGCAGUGUGAUGACUGCUGAGGAUGAGAGGGUUUGUUCCAGUGAUGUGAUGGACUUUUCAGAUGCCAUAAAUUUGCAUGAGCUGGCUGAUGAUCAGGACAAUCAGUGGAUGUCUGAAGAAGAACUAGAGCUACAUGCAGUUUCUGGGAUGGAUUAUAAUCAGUAUUUUGGGGGUGGUGUGAUGUACUGGAAUCCUUCUGAUUUCCCUGUGAGCAGCUUUUCUCGUCCUCCUUCUCUUAGUUCAGAUGACAACUCAUGGGCUUGGCGUGAAGCAGACAUGAACCAAGCUGUUGAUGAUAUGGUUGGCUUUUCUUCUUCUUAUAGUACGAAUGGUUUGACUUCUCCAUCUGCUGCUUCUUUUUGCUCUCCUUUUGAUCCAUUAGGUCCAGCACACCAGGCUGUGGGUUACGUUUUAUCUGAGAAUGAGAUAGGUGGCAAAGUUGUCCCCUCCUCAUCAACAAUCGCAGAGGUAGUUACAGAUGACAAUAUCUCAGGAUCUUUUUCCAACUUGUCUGGUGACUGUGAAGCGAAGACUGGAGAUUCACUUCAAUACCCCAUUUUGCGACCGAUUAUCAUCCCAAAUAUUCCAAGAGAAAUACCAAAAUCAGAUUUUAAACGUAAUCUUGAUCGUAAAAGCCCCUGUAUUCCUCCUAUUAGCCGGGAGCAGCCUCGGAUUAAGAGGCCACCUUCACCUGUUGUUCUUUGUGUUCCUCGUGCUCCACGUCCGCCUCCUCCCUCUCCUGUUGGUGAUUCUAGAAAACAUAGGGGCUUUCCUAGUGUUCGGUCUGGUAGCUCUAGCCCAAGGCACUGGGGUGUUAAGGGCUGGUCCCAUGAUGGAAUUAAUUUUGAAGAAGCUUGUAUACGGAUGGAUGGUAGUGAAGUAGUUUGGCCUUCUUGGAGGAAUAAAAGCCUCCAAGCCCGUAAAUUGACGCAACCUGUGCCAGGAGCUUUGCUGCAGGAUCGCCUGAUUGCUAUUUCUCAGCUAGCUCGUGAUCAGGAACAUGUACCAUUGUUAAUCAUGUUUCUACCUUUCUGUUUUCUUAGAUGAUUUCUGUCCUUUCAUUUUGUUCUCUAUAUUUGGCUGAAUAUUCUGAUAUAUGUUUUCAGCCAGACGUUGCAUUUCCAUUGCAACCACCUGAGUUGCUUAAUUGUUCCAAUCACAAGGCAUCUCUCUCUGUGAUCCAUGGCCUCCUUCAUGAUGAAAUUGACUCUUUCUGCAAGCAGGUACAGCGCUGAAGAGUUUGCUUAUGUAUUUAAGAUGAAUCUGCAGCUACUAUUUUGACCUACGUUUCGCUGUUUUUUAUUUAACGUGGUGGACUACCUUAACUAAUAGGCCAUACUCUUGUUAUGAUACAAAAGGUUGCUUCAGAAAAUUUAUUGUGGAAGCCUUCUAUUAAUUGGGCUGUCAAGCGAGUGACACGGUCUCUUCAAGUCUUGUGGCCUCGAUCCAGGACAAAUAUUUUUGGUUCAAAUGCUACUGGGUUGUCACUUCCAUCAAGUGAUGUGGACCUUGUGGUUUGUCUCCCUCCAGUGAGAAAUUUGGUGAGAUUAUCUUAUUGUAGCUAUUCUGGAUUACUCGUCUCUUUCAUUUGGCUUUAUGUGUUGAGAACAGAUAAAAUGGUAUCUAAUUCGUCUUCACUUUUAGGAACCUAUAAAAGAAGCCGGGAUCUUGGAGGGGCGCAAUGGUAUCAAAGAAACAUGUCUACAGGUUUGUACAAAGUUCUUUAUCCAUUUUCUGGACCAGAAGAAAUUGUAAUCUUAUCCAAUGUGGAUUUUUUAUUAGUAAUUUUUGAGCUCCUGGAUGCAAACCAAUAAGGAUUUUUAGAAUCCCCCACCCCCUCAGCCCGGAAAUAAGUAAAAUAAAAUAAAAAGCAUAAUCUCUCUGGACUUCCAUUAAUCUAUGGCAGCUAUAUCAUCCAGGAUAAGAAUUUAGAUCUGCAUCAGUUCUUGUACAAUAAUGUAAGCAGCAGUUGUACUCACCCUGCUGCAUGCUGUUAGGUAUCUUGAAAAAAGAACAAUAUUAGCUUAUUUUAUGAUGGUAACUGAGGGGGCUGUUGUUUUCCUUGCAGCAUGCGGCUAGGUAUCUUGCUAAUCAGGAAUGGGUUAAGAAUGACUCUCUCAAGAUUGUCGAGAAUACUGCUGUAACGUCUCUGUUUCAGUUUCUUUCAUUUGCUACUUUUUUGGGAUCCCUCCUUUCUAAUCUUGUAAUCCCUUUCUCUUGAGCUUUCAUCUUGUUAUGCCUUUUCCUUUUUUAGAUUCCAAUUAUCAUGCUCGUGGUGGAAGUUCCUCAGGACCUCAUUGCAUCUUCUGCAUCUAAUGGCCAAGCAUCAAAAGAAGAAUCAGUUCAAAAAACUAGUAAAGAAAACAACUCUUUCCAGGCUGAUCCCACUGGAUUAGCAACCGGUGCUUCAAAUAAGUGCUGUCAUAUGAAGUAUGAAAUGGAGAAGGAUGUAAAAUCAGUUCGUCUUGACAUUAGUUUCAAGUCCCCAUCACAUACUGGACUGCAGACUACAGAACUGGUACACUUAGGUUUUACCAUUCUUUUUUUCUCUUCUCCAUUCUUUUUCUUCCUAGUAGGUUUUGCAGAAUGAAGUUGUAAAAGAGGUUAGGAAAAAUAAAGAAUUUUUCCACAUUUCCCCAGUAGGAGGGUUGGUAGGGGGGAGGGCAGAAGACGGGUUUCUAGGUUCAGCUGGUAAUCUGGAUGAUGCUGGGAAGAGGUUUGCUUAAGCUUAUUAACCAUUUAGUGAGUACUUGCAUGGGUAUUUGAGGUAUGCCCCAAAAGAUCCAUGCAGAAACUAUUAAAACACAUCUUAAGAUGUUUGCAUCUAUUUAUGAUGUAUUGCUGAGACCUAUUUCUCAAAGAGAAAAAUAUAUAUGAAAUUCCCCCCACCAAGCCCCCAAAAAAAAGGCAUAAAUUAAAAUGCAAUUCAACUGACACGGGUACCUCCUCCAGCCCAUUUGAUAUGGUAGGAUUUCACUCAGCAUGUGAUAUUAGCACAAGUUGAAAUUAGAAUUAAAUGAAAAGUUGGGGAAAUCUGGUUUUAUAAUAGGAGUAGCUUUACGGAAGGUCUGUGUGUUUUAUGGUUUGUGUCCAAACCACUACUAAGACCUUUUGACUUUCUUUGGUUUGCUGUUUCCCGUGCUGAUAUAUUUGACUGUUUAUUUAGGUCAAAGAACUUACAGAACAGUUUCCUGCUGCUAAACCGCUUGCAUUGGUGCUAAAGAAAUUCUUGGCAGAUCGUAGCCUGGACCAAUCAUAUUCGGGUGGUUUAAGCUCAUAUUGUUUAGUAAGUGCCUACCUAUUAGAUCUGCAUUGCAGAUGAACUUUUUGACUUCAAAUGGAUGAAAUUUUUUUGGUUAGUUAACAUGAAAUUUUGCAGAGGAACUUUUUGACUUCAAAUGGAUGAAAUUUUUAGUUCUCUUUGGUUUUUCUUUUCAAUUUGAUUCUUGAUAAAUAGGUAAUAUUGGGCUUGGCAUCAGAACAUGAGGUAGAUGAGAUGGCCAUUGCUCAUCGCUUUCAAGUUUGUGGGAGCAUUUAACCCUGAAAUUCCUACCAUUCGAACAAUUUCCGGUCUUUGGGUGCACCUUUUUUGCAGUGAUCAAGCCCAUUAAAAAUUAUUUUCAAUCAAAAUUCAUGGUCCCCUCUUAAUUUCCUGUGUUAGUAUCCCUUUCCUGAAACAUUUAUGUGUCUGGAUGGAUAGAGCUUAAACACAAUGUGUGCGCUCUCCCUACCUGCUCAAUGUACCUUAAACACAAUAAACUUAUGAUUGAGUGUAUAGAACUCUGUUGUCAAAUCAGAUGAUAUCUAGUUUUAUCCUGAUCAUCUUAUCUCUUAUCGUGCGGUAAAAUGGAAACCAACUGUUGAUGCCUGUAAGGACAUUGAUUUUCUUUCUUGAUCUCAUAAUUUCUAAUGUGAAUACAACUAUGAGCUCUUUUUUACAAUCAUUUUUUAGUUUAUGGAGAAUUGGAGAUCCUUGUUUAUAAAUUCUUCAUACCUCUGUAAGUUGUGGUUGCUGAUUUUUUUUUGUCCCUGUUGUGCAGGUACUGCUGAUCAUGCGUUUUCUGCAGCAUGAACAUCAUCUUGGCCGGUCUAUUAACCAGGUAUGGAUGUGGACUAUAAUGAGUUCACACUUUUGUCUUUCUUCGACCAUAUAUGAAAUGUUACAUUCAGAUGUCUUAAAGAAUUAUUCUUGCUACUGUUAUCCCUGUUAAAUUUACCAAAAUUAUACUUUUAGCUUCACUUCUCUUGUUCUUACCCUACCAUGUAACUAGGGCAUAUUCCAUGUUGAUACCGUUUUGAGUUAAUAUGCAUGGUAGCAUAUAUCAUUUUUAGUGUUUUUGAACUUGGAAUAAGUCAUUGCACUUUUUUCGCAACUUAUGAAUAUGAAGAGUUAACAGAAAUGUAAAUGUUUGAUAGAGUCAGAGAGAAAAUGAUGAAACUGUAUUGCUUAUAAAUUUGGAGGAUGCAUAACAUAUUUGGGAUAAUUUAAUUGAAAUAUUAGAUCAUUGUAACUAAAUAACUGUUAGCUCGGAUGAAAGUCACUUUUAUCUAGUAUGGGACUAAAGAAAGACACUGAGCUAACGGUUUUAUGAACUUUGAACUGAAAUUGUAGAGAAGUUUACUUCUGUUUUUUCCAAGAAAUGCAAAAACUAACUGAUUAGUUGUUUACCUUCGAAGGUGUCAAUAGCAUGGUUAUAUGCACAUUCUAGCUUUUGAUUUGUACAUUUUAAAUUCAUGAUAAGUUGGCAUCACAUUGAUGUUGACUUGUUAUAAUCAAUUUAUUAAUAGACAGGUUGAAAAGAUUGAGACUCUAUCAGUCAUUUCAAGAAUUCAAAUUACCUUCAUAGUCUAAAGAGAUUUGAUUUUGAAACCUUGUCAUUCUACCUUUAUAUGUUAGAUUUAAGUGGAUGUAAAGAAAAUACUAGUCGCUUAACUAUCCGGCUUUUCUUACUGGGCCACAUCGAGAUAGUACCACUUUCCCUAACAAGGUUUUCACCUAAUGUAUAACUUCUUUGGCCCUACUUUGUACGAGGAAAUGGUUGAUGCUAGCCACAUUUUUUACCUACAGAUUUUUUCAGCUCUUGCAUGAUAUUUCUGGCAAGUAAAAGUAACAUUUUUGGGUGGGAUAGAUACAAUAAUGCUUUUGACUGGUACCACUUUUCAUAAAUUCUCAGUAUGCUUUAAUCUUGGAAUUUCUAUUGUGAAUGUCAUGUGUGCUUGCUGAUAUGCUAGGGAAUGUUUUUCAUGAACAUUUAUUUGGGUUUUAUUCAACGUAAGAACAUUGACUUUCAGUUUGAUAUGUUUGUUGUGUAUAUAUGAACUUCCAUUCGUUGGGUUUAUUAGUCAGACUAACUCUUAACAUGCUUACUGGAUGAUUUGUAGAAUUAUGGAAGUCUCCUCAUGGAUUUUCUUUACUUCUUUGGGUAAGUCAAAUGCUUCCAUGAAAUUUUCCUUUUUCUGUUUUUGGCAUUCACUCUUUUAGUUCUAUUAUCAAUUGUAGACAAGUUAGUUGUCAUACACUGACGUAUCAGUAUCAUUUUCUUUUUUUCCUUGUAAGGGUGAAAGCCUUGGAUUAGAUACUGAUGUAAAGCCUUUAUUGAUCUAGGAACGUAUUUGAUCCUCGCCAAAUGCGUAUCUCUGUACAGGGUAGUGGUGUAUACAUAAAUAGGGAACAGGGGUACAGGUAAUUGUAUACCUUGUUAAUUUCUUUACUGGGGUACUAGGUUUUCAAUUUGUCCUAUUGACUAUGAUCAAAUUUUUUAAUUUGCAGCAUUGAUCCAAUUUAUAUUGAUGAUCCUCUAUAUCCAGCAAAUAAUGUUGGGAGAAAUUGCUUCCGGAUCCAUCAGUGUAUCAAGGUUAGCUAGUUUUUAGUUUCAGCGUCUUCCUUUUUUUUUGGUGUCCCUGAGAAUUUGGUAAUAAAUCACAUUUUUAUGUUACUCAGUAAUUGUCAUAUUGGGUCUUGAAUUUAAUGGGUGGUGGAGACUUCCAGUUAGCACUAUAUGAUGUAAAAAUAGGCGUGCAAUUGAUUUAGUUUGAAUCAAUUUGGGUUCUGUGGGGUGUUUUAGCAAGAUGUUUCAUCUUCGAUUUUGUUGUAGCCAAGGAACUUUCCCUGGAGAUUGGUACCAAUUAUGAUAGGAUUAGGAUUGUGUGUGUGUGUGUGUCUGCUCUUGAUUGUUGGACUGCUAUAUGGUGAGUGCAGGUCACAAUUGAUUUAAAGACCUAAUUAAGGUAGUUACAUGGUGCAGGCUUUUGCUGAUGCUUAUUCUACUCUGGAAAAUGAGCUUACUUGCCUUCCCAAUAGCGAUGAAUUGAAUACAAAGCUGGCGUGUAAGCUGCUCCCAAAAAUUAUUCCAAGUAUUGGUCUUUCUGGUGGAUCCUAAUUAUCUGAAAAGAUUAUCCUACUCAAUGGUAUGUUGAGAAACUUAGAGUUUCUCCAAGUUCAAUUGAAUCAAGAGGAUAAUAGUCUAUAUAGUUUUAGAGAGGUUUAGUUCUUUCUCUUCUGUGUGUUCUACUGUCCUCCUUUUACAGAUCAUCAAACACUUAUGGCGAAGUUUGAAUUGCUGGUUUGGGGUCAUAUGGUGAAGCUGUCAUGCCAUUGUUACCAAUAGCUACACAACUUUCUGGCAAGCUUGGUCUUACUUCAAAAUUAAACAAUCGCAUGGCCAAUACAGGUAUUUUGGACAUUCUUUUUGUGUUUCACAAGCAACGGCCGUAGGCAAGACAUAUCUAUAGUGCAAGUGGUUAUAGAGUUAUCAAUUUGAAGCUUGUCACCUAUUGCAGAAUGGCUCAAACUAGUUGAAAGAAAAUAUUUAACAAUCAGAAACCUAACUUAUCAAGUGUUAUAGCUUACAACUUCAUUCACCACUUCAUUAUUGUUGAUUUCUGUUCACUAUAUUAGUAAGACGUGUUGUUCUAAUCUGUAUAUUGAGAUAAAGUUACAGUGUGUUUGAAGCAUGCAAUUGGGUUUACAUGGUUGGUAAUUGGAUUGAAAACAGCUUCUUGGACUAGCCAUUUGUGGUUUCUUAUGUAUGGAAUCGUGAAGAAAUUUUUAUUUUCUAUUCUGGCAGAGCUAUGCAGCAGAAACUCGGAGGCUGGAGAUGUCCAGUAAAAGUGCAGUAAAUGUCCAGUAAAAGUGCAGUUACUGGAAGGCCUUUAAAUGUGCCUUAUUCCUCGUACUGCUGAUCAUGGUCUGAGCUUGUCCAUCUUUUCUCGUUAUGGCUGGCUUCCACUCUCAGUACUGGGAGAAGUGAUCUGGUAAUGUUGCGUGUCCUAGUUGAUACUCUUUAAUUAAGAUAAUGGUGAUUGACUAGUAGUGAAACACAUCAGCAACAUAAAAUUUAAGGAAGUAGCAGGAAACAACCUAUUAUUAUGUUUUGAGUCGACUUUUAGAAACUAAUGACACGCAUUGAGGUAUACAUGAUUUGUUUCUAGUAUUGAAGGCUCUAUAUUGGAUAUGAUUAGUCAACACCCUUGUAAGACGGAACUAUCUCAUCAACAGGUGCAAUGACAGUCCAGUGCAGCAUUAUAGAGAAAGAUUCCAGUUUUUAAUUGACCUACUGAAAAAAUGAAUGAAAAUUUAUUUAUACCCAGACAAAGUGAGUGCUACAUAGGACACAUUGUGUUUAGAUCUCAUACAAGUGCCAACAUGAUCAGCCCCGAGGGAACAUCUAGAUCUAAUUUGAACAUAUAAUCUUUUCCCCCUUUUUCAAAGGAAAAUCAUCUUGAGAUAAUGGGGUGCACAGGCAGAAGCCAAGGAAAAUUGCUCUGAUUUGCCUUCUUGUCAGAAUAGAAUUUAUCCUGCACCAUGGGGUUCUGCCAUGUGCUACAUUAGUUUUUUAAACAUCACACUGAAAUCUUUGGCGCAGGAGACAUCUAAAUUUUGCAUAUAGGCUUUGUUGCAUAUAAUGGUACUGGUGUUUCUACCAUGACAAUUUCUUCAUUCUGCAGAAUGAGAACUAAAAAUCUAAGAACAAAAGGAGUUCCUGACUAAUAAUUUGGAAUUUCAAUAGUUUGAGGGAGAGGAUAUAUAUAUAUAUAUAUAUAUGUAUGUAUAUAUGCAUAAUUUGGAUCUAAGUAUGCAAUAACUUUAACAAAUUGAGUAAAAGGCAUUAUGUGCAUAUCUGUCAAAGAUACUAGAUUAGUCUCUCACAUCAAUUGUGAAGAUUUUCUUUUUAGUUCCUAUUGUGUUUGUAUGUAUAUAUACUCCUGACUUUUUGAGCUAUCUGCAGAAAUUUUGACUAUUUAAUGAACAGAUUAGCAGCAAUAUCCUACAAUACUGCACUUCCAGAUCAACUCUGAAUGUCUGUAUGAAACCACUAUGUUGCCAUGUAUUGUACUCGCACUUCUUCUGGUUCAAGGUAUUUAUUGUGCCAUAACUAUUACCCCAAUGAGCUAGACAUGGCCACUGAUAUUUUACUGGUUUGCUGUUCUUCUGCCAAUUUUUCCCAAAUUUUUUAGUAAUUCAGACUUCUAUAGUAAAAUUUACUACAUCAUGUAACUUGUAAGAAUUUUCGUGCAAUGAUUUUAUUGUUGGUAAGCAUAAUAACCUUUGCCAUCUCUUGAUUGUCUUGUUCCAUAGUUCCCAAUACUCAGAAACUAUCUUCUCACACUUGCUAACCCUGAAGUUGUUGUACGUCCUGUUUGUCACCCUUACUAAUUUCUAUUCGAUGUCCAAGUUUACAAGUUUUUCCAAUGAAGAAGCCACCAUUUAUUAUUCUGUAUUCAAGAAGCAUAUUCCAUUCCUUUUAAGAAGAAAAAGUAGGAUAUUUUAUCUGAAUUUGUGUUUCAGUCAAUCUCGUCUGUUUUUCUGCAGUCAAAACUGUGUCUCAAGUUUUUGCUGUCUAUCAGAUGCCAUUACUAGUGGAAAUCCAGAUUGUGGCGUCCAUCUUGGAGAAGGGCAGAUUUCAAGUCUGGCAGAUGAAGGAUGUCAGUGCUGCAUCUAUGUUGGAUGAAAGGAUAUCUGCAGUAGUGCUUGUUCAGUUGAUUUUCUGCUCCGAUACAGUAACAUGCAUUUUAUACCCUUUCCGUCCUUGGACCCCAGAAAUAACAAUCGAUUUGUACAUUUUAGGCAGGGAUAAGAAAUUUGAUCAACCAAAUGUUUUAUACAAGGAAAAGAAGUUGGACGCAUUGAUAAUUGGAAUCUUGAUGUCUGAAAUACGUUGUAAUAAAUAAUUGAUUGCUGACUCACUGCUACAACGCAGUUUCAACCUGUUGCUCUUCCAGAAAAUUGCUUUUAAGAACGCUUCCAUAGCUUUCCUGUAUUGGCAUUAACAAGGAAAAUGAAAUCACAAAGCAACUUGACAAAAUGAGGAACCAACUUAAAGUUCCACAUGUUUUGACUGCUAUCAUAGUAGGGGGAAAUGUACUCCUAUUAGAUUUGUCUGUAUGUUUUGCAAUUAUUGGUAUGCCUCCGCCACAGCCCUAUCUAUCAUUAAACGAUGCAAAAGAUUGCAAACAUUACAAAUACAGAGGUUUGCGGAGAAGAAACCUACCCCGAUCUGAGAUAAAAAAGAAUAAAAGAAUUAUGAACGCAUGAAAACAUAAUGCAAAUUUCUGAGUAGCAAAGAUCCGCUUAAAACGACUCAACAUUCCUGGCAGCACAACCUCUAAGUUUGUUUUGGAGGUCCAACUGCUUGGGCAAGACAAGUUCAACUCCUCCUCCUGACUCUGAAAAGUACUUUUCGAGCACCAU
rnacentral:lncRNA from 1 species